UUUUGGGUGUGGUAUGUUUUAGGAGGAAUGGUUUCAUUAUACCAAUAAAUGUCUAACAUGCAUUAACACAAAAAUUUCUAUGCUGACCUCAGAUAGGUGUGACUUCUAUAUAAGUCCAAUUAACGAUGCUUAACAAUAGAGCUAAAUUUUUGACCCUAAAGGCAUAUCAUUCAGUAAGCUGAGAAUUUGUAAGUCUCCCCCUUUCAUGGUAUUGUGUGGAAACUUAAAACUUUUUUCUUCCUUGGAGAUGUUUGGUUCAAGGAUCCAGCUUGUAAUAGAGGGUUGAGUGUUCUCCAAAGAAAGAACUAAUCAAUUAAAACAGUAAAGCAUCACUAACAUUUAAAUCCCACUAACAUUUUGACUCUUUAUUAAUAAUAAACUUUUAUUUGCCAAGCUCAAUUUACUGUUAUGCAAUUUAAAUUCAAGUCAUUUACCAUCUCAUUUGUCAUUUACAUACCAUUGAACUUAUUUAUGUUUAUGUCAUUUCACUUUGGCUUCACUGAGCAUAUAUUGUGAUUGUAUAGUUAUUUGUUUUGUGUAUUUUGUUUGUGUUUGUGUCUUAGACUUAAAUACUUAUUAAACACAAAACCCCAAAACAUGUUUGUGUGGAACUGUUGGAUUUGAUCUGAGCUUUUGGCACUUAGAAUUAUGCAAUCCUUCCUAUAAUGAAAAGUAUACUUGGCCAAUGCCAACAUUUCUGAGACCAAGUUAUUAUGAUUUGAGCUUUCAUCUGAUGCAAGUGAUUGGUGAUCAUAUGAAUUCAUCUGCUACAGGUCUUGAAUGCAACUGUUUUUAGACCUAUGUCCUAAUGUCUUAUUCUGAAGUUAACAAGGAGUAUUUCAUCUGGUGCAUAAGAAGCACAGAGACUAACUAAGCUAAUGGGAUUUUUCUUGGCUUGGAAUUGGCUACGUUAUUUGAAUGUUCUUUCCUCUCAAUUGCUAUAUUGGCCUUGUGGAUAUUUUCUUGAUUUAAAGUCAAAAGGGAAUUGGGUUUCUAUAUGACAUUCUUGUCUAUUAGAUUGCAUUCCCAUUGGUCAAAUCUUUCAACUGUUAACUUUAAUUUUUAUGCUAGGAUUAGUCUCUUCAUCUUCUCCCACUUUUAAUUUCAAAAUCUCUGCCCUCUUCCAAAAACUUCUUUUGCUUGUGAUUCCAAAACUUAGACUAUGUUGCAAAUCAGAAACUUUGGCCUUAAUGCAUUGCAUUUUAAAUACUCUUUCUAAUCAAAUUUGUAAAAUGAACUUUAACCAUAAUUGACUAAAAUUUCCAAAAAGACAAAAAGAAAUAACACCCAUUCAAACUUUUUGGGACCCUUUGUGCAACCUUUUAAACUUAAAAUUUUGAUUGAAAAGCAAUCCGCUCAUUUUGAAAUUGAUACACGACUAUAGGCUUUGAUCCCUCAUUUUUAUCGUUGGUACAUAGGCACAAGUGCCGAAGGUCUUGUCAAACACAAAAAUCAGUUAAAUUAUAUAGAAUUAUUCUUUCCUUCAUCCCCCACACUCAAUUGUAUUGCAAACAUUUUAUACCAAAAACACAUACACAAUAUAAAAGGGCCCUCCCUAGGAGUUACCUAGGACACUUUGGUGCUAACACCUUCCCUCUGUGUCAUACCAACCCCCUUACGCCAAAUCUCUGGCAUUUUAUUAGUUUUGAUUUGAAAACUUAUUAUCUUUGGCGUUUUGUUUCGUACUUUUCCCUUUCCCUUGGAAAACAAUAAAAGCGCGGUGGCGACUUUAGUUCUUAUUUGACUUAAGUUUAUCCAUAACUUAAUGUCAUGAAUUUUCCCGCUUACAAGUCAACCACUUUGAUCCUAGAAGUUUGUGUUUCUUCGGAACCAUAAACCUUAAUUCUUAACCAGAGCAUGGUAAUUGUUUAGUUAAUCUACUUUUCAUUCAAAUUGCAAGAGAAAGCACCACCUGAGGAGAUCAACCAUAUUAUCUUCGUAUACACGCCUAAAGUGGUUGAAGAAGUCGUGAAAAAUCCAGACAAAUUAUAUUGGUUGAUCUCAUCCAAACCAAUAACAUUCGGAUCAGCAACUUUUUCAAGCAAAAAAAGAGCCCACUGAGUUGACAGACCAAUAAAAGGCGACUUAGGAAAAAAUCAGGGCAUCCGGAGUGACCGAAAGCUUCAAAAGAAUCGGUCCAAGCCAAAAUGUAGGAUACAAAAAAAGGCUUAUCAAAACCUCUCAACAAAAACAGAAAAUAAGGUAACUGCAUUUUCAAGAAAAUAUCAUCUCGAUCCCCCAUCUUUUACCACAACACCUUCAAAGCCUCUUGAAGUAAAAUAUGCCGUGCACUAAACUGAAUAUAGAAUUGAAGUCAUCAAAAAGAAGGGGUGGUUAAGAAUAAACUUUUGAGCCCUUAUAAGUCCUUGUUUCGAAAACCAAGAACCAGACAGAUAUGACAACCCUUAAAAGACCUAAUGAGGCUAGGUUCAUUCUGACAGCAUACACAACAAGGUUGCCAUUCACUUGACUCAAAAGAUCCUUUGUUAAUCAUUUCUCAUAUGGUUGUUUGCACCAUUCUUGCAUCAUGGAAUGGUUGGAUCAACAGGCAUUCUGAUCCAUUGACCCGUUCAUUUGAAUUUCAUCCAAAUAAAUAUCAAUAAAUUUUGAUUUCAAAAAUUUGCAUGAACAUUGCAUUAAAAUUACUAUUUUGAAUGAACAACUUUUAUCUGCAAUUAACAACUAGCAUAUUAGGAAAUUCCAACAAAUGCAUAAUCAAUUGAGGAAACUGAUCAUCGUAAAAAGUAAGUUUAAGUCAAGGGAAAAUCAACUUUUAGUAUCAUUCAAUCGAUGACAAACCACCUACAGAGCAGUAGUCAGGAGCAAAUUGCUGUCAAGACUUAAACGGGGUGAGCUACCAACCAAAGAGCUCAAGACCGCACUCUCCAAUGAUGGUCAAAUCAGAGCAGACCAGUCCAAAAGUUGGUUAUCGCGGGAAACUACUGAAGAUUCAACAUCUGGGCAAGUUAAUGAUAGGCUGCUUCCAAACUUCUUUAAGGUGAACAUCGUUCAAAGGCUCAGACUAGGGGCAACUCCUCUCAGAUGCUUUCACAGCUGUCAACCAAACUCUACCAUAAACGUAACAACUAUUAAUCCCGAGAUGAGUUUCCGGGAAGUCAUAUCUAGAACAACCAUUAAUGCCUCCAAAAGGGUCCCUUGCCCACUUCAACUGUCAAGCUUGAUAGAUUAUCCUUGAAUAUGAUCUAUCACAAGCAUUUGUUGAGUAUGGUGUUAGGAAUAGACAACCUCCAUAAACAGUCUAUGUAAACUCCUAGUACGCAAUAGGGUCAGCAAUUUUGCAUAUCAUGAUCAUGUCAAUAUCAUGCCAUAAAAGAAAAUCCAAAUCAUGCUACGCCUAAAGUUAAUUCAUUGGAAUAUUUUGAAGUCCCAAAUUAUCAUGGCAUUACCUAAAAUCCAAAUCGUCAUGGUAUCUAAAUUGCCAGUUGUCACUGUCAUCAUUUCAAAAAGACUGGUUUACUAUAUCUGUUUUAAAAUUCAAUUGUAAUUGGUACUUUAAAGUCAGUUGAGAACUGGCACUUAUGUUUAAACCAAUUGUUAUUGGUAUUCCAAAGUCAAUGUUAUUGGCAACAAUGAAAAGUCCAAUUGUCAUUGACACCGUCUAAAUUCCAAUUGUUUAUUGGUUCAAUUACCUAAAGUCCAGUUGUCAUGGUAAGUCAUUUCAUUUCAAACCCAUUGUUAUUGGUUUUAAAGUCAAUUGUCAUUGGCAAUCCAAAGUCCCAGUUUGUCAAUGACACCAAUUUUCAAAGUUUGUUUUCACCACACAUGCUAUUCUCAAAGUCCAAUUGUUUAUUGGCGUAAUUUUUUAAAAUCUAGUUUUUACUGGGACUCUUUGCAAUCCAGUUACUAUGGUGUCCAUUUAAUAAGUCCCUAAUUGUUUUGUACAUCGAAAGUGCCAGUUGUCAUGACGCUAUUUUUCUAAGUCUGGUUUGUUACCGACAUUAUUCUUAAGUCAUCAUUUUCAAAAUCCAAUUGGUCAUUUUGUAUCUGUAGUCCUGUUGUCACUGGCACUACUUCAAGUCCAGUUGUCCACUGGUAUCUUGUAAUGGUCCAAUUGUUAUUAUGCACGAUUAAAGUCACAGUUGCAACUGCACUAAACCUAAAGUUUGGUUGUAACCAAUUCUUACGAUCUACCGUCCAACUUUGUUGGCAAACAUACCAGAGAGUUUGAUUACUCUGUUUCCUGAUGUUUCUUAGAAAGUCAUGUAUGAAUUAUUCAAUUUUAAGGAAAUUCUCGAGAAGCUUGAUUUAAUUCUUGUUAGAAAAACUCCAAUGAUAUUGUCUGAUUGAUUUCUUCUACACAAGAAUCAUCAUAGCCUUUUUUGCAUGGAUGUUUUCUUGUCAGAUAACUCCAUUGAGUUUUGUCUUGGAUAAUUUAUUUGUCAAAGAAUCUCUAGGCUUUUCUUUUGAGUUAAAUGACUUUCUUUAUAAGAAGCUCCCUAAGUUACCUUCAAAUAAAUUCCUUGGUUAGGGAUUUCAUUUUCCUUUGAAUUGGCAUGAUUUUCUUUUUAGAAAAACUCCAGAACUUUUUGUGUGGGAAUAUAUUUCUUGUUAGCAAUUCAAAAAUAUUAGUUCUCAUAUACUUCUAAAGUUGUUGCUUGUAUCUAUAACUACGUUUGGCAACCCUCACAUUUUGAAAGUUUCCCAUGCCUUUUCUCCAGCAAAUUUUUAUCCCAGUGAGACUUCACCCCCUCAAUUUGUCUUUGUCAUUUCCCUAUAGGUCACCGCUACCGACAUGUCUCCAUCUUCCCACAGGUCCAAUCAUCCAUCAUAAAACAUAUGAUAAGUUCAUUGUAAUAUCAUAUCCGACAAACAAAAAAAAAAAAAAGUCUAACACUCCUAGCAUAGCCUGUAUUCAUUCGAGGGGCAAGAAGUAGGGUCUUCUGUUUCAAAUCCUUAAACCAGGACCAUGAGGAAUUAACAUCCUCAUGCCAAACCAGUAAAGCUAUUUAAAUAGGGGAAAUUGUCAUACUAAUUUGGUCCACCUAAUUCACACAAUUCAUUCAUUAGUCAUCAAUUUGGUAAUCAAUAUUCAUUCACAGGUCAUUGAUUAGUCUUUAGUGUAUAAAGUAAAAAAAUCUUGUACCUUUUCAAUCUGAUUCAUUAAAAUAGUCAGUCCAUCGGUAUUCCCAUCCAAGCAACAUUGAUAUUAUUUUGAUUUUCAAUUAAGUUAUAAUUGAAUAAUGUUUUCUUGGACUUUCAUUGAAGAUAGUUGGAAUUUGGUCGUUUAAGUCACAUGAAGCUCAUUUCAGUCCAUACGCCACAGUCUUAAAGCUUUGCUUGUUAGACCUUGCUAUGCAUUCCAUUCAUAUAUGAUGAAAAAUUUAAUUAAAGAAUACAUCAGUUCAUACAUUUUUCUUUUCAUGGCAUGCAUUUCUAAAUGUUGUUUGAGAAUCAACAGUUGUUUUGCAAACUCAAAGGAGAAGGCAUAAAUUCUCAAUAUGUUGGCAAUACAUUCUAAACUUCUAUUACAUUGAUAUGGUUACUUGAUCCGCUGUCGCACGCGGAUCAAAAGCGAGUAGUUUUUUUUCAAAAAUGUAAGUUAAACGACAAAUGCACCUCAAAAUAUCUGUCUGCCGAAGGAUUCUUGUUUAAUUAGUCUCACAAUAAACAAAAAAAAGGGAGGGGGGGGUUGGUUGGCUUUAGAUUCGAAAAAGUGAAUCUUUUUAAAAGUGAUUAUAAAAUAAGCUGACAGCGAACCAACCCUACUGCAAUCAUCUUCGACUUAUCAUUGAUUCUUAUAAAAUUCCCAAAUCCUAACGGGUCUGCUCUAUUCGAUUACAAUUACGCGAUUAACAAGCGUAAAGGAAUUAUGCGAGUACAUUCCCAAAUUCCGAAUUAAGCCAAACGGAUUAAAAACUAUCGCGAAUUAAGCAGACACAACUUUGAUCGUUCGUAGAUAAAAUAAAAGCUGAUGUUAAGCCACGAAUUGAUUCGGGAUCAUCAUUUCGAUCCAAUCAAUUUAAGGAUUCCUAUCCUAUAGCAACAAUUAGAUUAAGCAAAUAAUUGAAUUAUAAGAAGAAUUCAAGGAACAAAUGGAAAUUAAUAAAACCCAAAGCGGAUUCUGAAUUACAGCAGGUAAACCAUAGUCCCAUCUGCCCUACGUCUCAAAAAAUCGUAUCAUGAACAGAAAAACGUAACCCUGUUAUUGGCUGCCUAACCUAGUAAAUACAACACAACCCGUUUCACAACUCAACUCGGGUCAAACAUGACGAUUGCGGGCCUAUAGCAACUAACCAAACAAAAUAUAUAAAAUAAUGCAUGGCAGCUCAAACAAAGCUUUCUUGGCCAAUGCUACAGCGUUUGAUUUUCAGCCUCUCCCACCUGGAAACACAAAUGUAGAUCUUUUCUGCUUUCAUCGAAUAUAGACAUCUCAAUCACGAUCUCCUAGCUCCUAGGAAUAAUGAUUUUCCUCGUGAAAGCUGCUAAUGCUCGGAACAUUAUAUACGAAAAUUAAUACGUGCAAAUAACAUAUAAUUAUGAACCAACACAUUAAAACCAUAAAAAUAAUAAAGCAAACCGAAGAAAUGCUUUAAUACAAACAUAGAAGAACGUGCAUUCCAAAAAUACAACUGAUCAAAAUUCCCCCACACUUGAACUUUUGCACUCCGAGCAAAUGAAAAACAAAACAAAACACAUGACACAGCUCAACGGUUACUCAAGUUCUAGGCUACAAGUUCUAAUCUUCGGUUACGUUGCUUCUGAUAGGUACUAAUCUUGCACAACUACGGACAUUGUNNNNNNNNNNNNNNNNNNNNNNNNNGGUCAUCUUUGGUUCAGGUUGCAAUCGAGUAGUACUAUGCUUCACACACCUGUAGGCAUCGGUAGAGGUACACUACUACUGCCCAGGUUAUGGGUCUCAUCGACAUAGGCCUAAACCGUAAUGACAACAAAUCAUGUCAACUCCAUAUUAUCUUGACCCCAUUUAGCCCACGUUUUACCUUCAUCGUUUUUUGCUCCUUUUUCUAGUUUCCUAGGCGGCAAUCUACAUUUAAAGCCCGUUUAUGAGUCUCCACCUCACUCUAUUAGCAAGACUCGAUGACCGGGUUGUGCGGUCUGAUCCUUUUCAGAAAUGGUUCUGGUGCUACGUAUUUUUCAUAUUUUUAUUGAAGGUUCCACAACGCUUGGGAGGUUAAGUGACGGUGAGGGGGUCUACCACACUGAGAAGGUCAUUCCCUUUAUUUUGUUCUCUUUUUUUAUUUUCUUUCUUUCGAAACACUCAACUUAUAUUCCAUGGCUUCCUCGCAUAAGUGUGUGCAUGAGAUGGUAGCUUGCCUCUGAAAUUAACUACUGCAAAGAGCUGUCAGGGAUGGAGAAAUUAAUGGCUAAACAAAAUAAAAUUCAAAUCUCAAUUUCAUAUGCAGGAGACUCUACGGUAUUAAAACCUAGCCGAUUUCGUGAACUUUUUCCCAGAGUUCAUCCGCAACGCAAGACUCAGAUGUAAUCUAUAACCCAACUUUCAAAAAGAGCGAUUUUUUUUUAUAUACUGAAAAUAUAAUCACAACAAGUCGAACAAGCAAAAGGGAAAACAAAUGAUUCCUCACCCACCAUAAACAAGUGUGGAUUGUCCUCAAUGAAUGUUCAGGAAGUUUACUCCGGCGUUAACUAUUAAAUUAGGAGGUGAGAGAAGAAAGGAAAGACACACAAGUAAUUAUUUGCGCAGCUGUUACAGGAGGUAGUGUUUCUGUACUCUUAAUGCGUGUAUGGGAUCUCGAGUCACUAUCAAUAUGUAGAUGCAGAGCAGGCUACAAAUCAUGUUGUUGAUGUGUGUUCAUGUGAAGUAUUUAGUGUCUUGGUGUAUUCGAAGCAUCUAAGGCUAAACAUAACCAAGAGAUUAGUAUACUCCACUAUUUACCUUCUGUCUUAUAUUGUUUUCUAUGAAUUAAUUGUUUGAUAUGGAUUUUAUGAAUUAAUUAACUUAUGAUUUUAUUUUUUUCAAUAACAUUUUUUGGGGACGUAAUUUUGUAUACUGCGGUUCAAAUGUGAGAACCAUUAGUCCUCCCAUGUAAGUGAAGGCUUUCAUAAUUUUUUUUCAACACUUCAUGAGGAGCGGGAGUGCUUGGGUAAUACCACGUCUUCGCCUUUCUAUUCUCAGGUCAAAGAACAAUCUCUGGAUAAGUUAAUAUGGGUUCGAAGUGAAGGGGGCUGCCUAUAUGGAUGGUGUGAGUUUGAUGUGGUAGGAAUUUGAAUAGCGCCCUUUUCUUAUUGAUGUUUUACCAGAUGUUAAGUAAACAUACAGACACUCAAUAGAAAUUCAACUGCGGCUCGAACUAUUAAUUAGGUGCAACGUCCUCUUACUUCCUCCAGACAAAAACAGAAUAAGAGCAGAGCAGAAUCAAUGAGAUGAGUCAUUAGCAACAAGUUAGAUAUAUGAAAUGGAAACAUCUAGUAGAAAUACCAAUUCAAUAAGUAAUCAUGCACCGACUCAGAAAACAUCUCCGAAUAGAAGAACAUUAAAUGUCCAUUAGGUAAUGUUUUUAUUUAGCGUCAUAAAUGGGAUUAGAAACUUAAGAAAUGCUUCACCAAGCCAUGGAAGUGGGUUAUCCAUCAUAACAUCUGAUUUUUGUUUUUUCACGUUUUAUAAAUGGUCUGCCGUUAAAAAAUGAAUUGUUGGUUUACUACUUGAAUUUGUUUCUCCGGGCCAUGUCCAAUCGUAAAAAUCUGCAAGGAACUAAGCAAAUCAUUAACUUUGGGACUAAGCACCAUCUUCCGACUUAACUCGGGCACUAGGGCAAGUUUGCUUCGUUUUCUAACUGAUAAUUAACCUGUAUUCAUGCAUAAGGUCCAAGGUCACGGUUGUUAUUAAACUGAAGUAGGCAAAACAUUAAUGAAGCUUUCCUGUGUAACGCAAGCAUGCACAAUACUCAAUUUACUAUCCAUAGGGUAACAUGGAUGAGAAAAGUUCCUGAGAUCCUUGCAUUUCGUGGGGGGCAACAUGGUAUGAUUAAGAGACCUGAGAAUGAUAGCCUUAAUUUCAGAGUGAUGUUUUGGUGUUGUAAUGAGGGACUGGAAACCAUUUCCUUCCUAAUGCUUCAACUCUCUUCCAUUCCUUUCUCUCGUGCUUGUGUGUGCACAAAUCUCUCAGAAGGUUUUGCAGUCUUUUGGACCUGCUUCAUCAUCAUAGAAAGUGGAUAUUCACAUAAAACACUUUUCCAAUGUGCAUCUAGCCAUAUCUUCUCUCUCCCGGUCAUUCCAUCUUUUUAAUUUUCGUCACUCGUUUCGCUGGGAAAAAGAGGAUCGUGGCAAUACUCAUUUUUCAUUUAAUUUUUUCAGUUCUACCACUUACAGCAGAAGGUUAGCCACGCAAGAAGCGCCUUCAGAUGUCUAGCUCGAAUAAUCCUUUCUUUUAUCUCUUUUGCCGGCCUGGUCUCCUGCCUUAUUCCGCAGAUCUGAUAGCCGACAUUUGCACUUACAUUGGCAUUAGGACACCUUUGAUUCACAAACUACCUUGGGCGAGCGAGCCUUGGUUUGAUCCUCUGCGGCUAUGAUGGUAUUAAUUGACCCACCGGUUGGCAGUUGGUCCACCUGUGUCGUAUUGAUGACUUGUAGCCUAGAAUGAGUAACCGUUGAUGUGUCUGUGUUUUGUUUUGUUUUUCAUUUUGCUCGGAGUGCAAAAGUUCAAGUGUGGGGGAAUUUGAUCAGUGUAUUUUGGAUGCACGUUCUUCUAUGUUUGUACUUAAGCAUUUCUUCGGUUUGCUUUGAUUAUUUUUAUGUUUUAAUGUGUUUUCAUAAUUUAUGUUAUUUUUGCACUUAUUUAAUUUUCGUAUAUAAUUUUCAGCAUUAGCAGCUUUCACGAGAAAAAUCAUAUCUAGAGCUAGGAGUAUCGGAUUGAGAUGUGCUACUAGUCGAUGGAAAGCUAAGAAAAAGAUCUACAACUUUUGUUCAGAAGUUGAGAGCUGAAUCAAACUGUAGCAGGGCCAGAAAGUUUGUUGAAGCUGCUGCAUUAUUUUUAUAUUUUGUUUGGGUUAGUUGUAUUGGGCCCGAAUCGUACAUUUGACCCGGUUGAGUUGUGAAACGGGUUUGUGUGUUUUUACCUAGGUUAGGCAGCCAAUAACAGGGUUACGUUUUUCUGUUCAUGUACGAUUUUUUGAGAGCUAGCAAGAUGACUAUGGAGAACUAAUCCCUUUUGAAUCAACCUGCUGUAAUUCAGAAUCCGCUUUGAGGUUUUUAUUAAUUCCAAUUUGUUUCCUUUGAAUUCUUCUUANCCUCUCUACUCUUUAUAGGUAAAAGUCCUCUUCAUUGAGGGCAAUGCUGAGUUUAAGUGUGGGGAGGGAAUCGUGUGUUUUCUUUAUUUUUGUAGUGUUUUGUUUGUUUUUAGUCAUUAAAAAAUAAAAAAAAUGCUCUUUCUUGAAAUGUUUUAGGCUAUAGGUUACUUGAGUCGCGUUGCGGAGACUUGGGAAAAAUUCACAAAUCGGUAUUGUUUUAACACCGUAAGUCUCCUGCAUAUGGAAAUUGAGUUGAAUUUUAUUAUGUUUUAGCGUUACAUUCUUCAUCCUCUGACAGCUCUUGAGUAGUUUUAAUUUCAGGAGCGCAGCACCAUCUCACACACACUCUAUGCAGGAAGCCAUGAAUAUAGUGGUGUUUCCGGAAAGAGAAAAAAAAAAGAGAACAAAAUAAAGGAAGCACCUUCUAGUUUGGUGACCCUCACCGGUCACUUAACCCAAGGUUGGUGGAACCUGUCAAAAAAAGUUGGAAAUAAAGACUCUUUUUGUAGUUUGUUCAGCGCGGUUCUGUGUGAACUUGGUAGGGCGGAUUACGGUUCGAUCUCCCGCAACAUACAAUUGAGUAAGCAAAGGGUUAUGCCACUUAAGUUACCAGAACCCCGUGCCAAGAAAAGGAUCAGAGUCACUAACCGGUUUCGCCUUGCUAUGAGUGUGUGAGAUAACAGGCUUAAUAUGAUUGCCGCCUGAAUGAAAAGAGCCAAAGAAGGCAUGAGUAAGUUAGGCUUUAAUAUAUACAUGAUUCGAGUUGAUUUGUGUAUUCAGGAGGUUUAUGUCUGCAUAACUGGGAUUAGGUGUUCUACAAUGUCCUAGUGUGCAAGAUUGAGUACCUAUCAAAGCAAACUUAACGAAGAUGACUUGUAGCCUAGAAUUGAGUAACCGUUGAGUGUGUCUGUGUUUUGUUUUGUUUUUCAUUUGCUCGGAGUGCAAAAGUUCAAGUGUGGCGGGAUUUGAUCAGUGUAUUUUGUGGAUGCACGUUCUUCUAUGUUUGUAUUAAGCAUUUCUUCGGUUUGCUUUAUUAUUUUUAUGGUUUUAAUGUGUUUUCAUAAUUUAUGUUAUUUUUGCACUAUUAAUUUUCGUAUAUAAUGUUCCGAGUUCAUUAGCAGCUUUCACGAGCAAAAUCAUAUUCCUAGGAGCUGGAGAUCGGAUUGAGAUGUGCUAUAGUCGAUGAAGCCAGAAAGAUCUACAACUUUGUGAUCAGUGGGAGGCUGAGAUCAAACCUGUAGACAUUGGCCAAGAAAGUUGUUGUUGAGCUGCCAUGCUUGAUUUUAUAGUCAUUUUGUUUGGGGUUAGUUGCUAUUGAGGCCCGCAUCGUCAUUUGACCCGAGUUGAGUGUGAACGGGUUUGUGUGGGUUAUUUACUAGGUUAGGCAGCCAAUAACAGGCGUUACGUCUUUUCUGUUCAUGUAGCGAUUUUUUGAGACUAGGGCAGGUAUGGAGAACUAUGCGUUUGUCAACCUGCUGUAAUUCCAGAAUCCGCUUUGGUUUUUUAUUAAAUUUCCAUUUGUUCCUUUGAAUUCUUCUUAUAAUUCAAUUUUUGCUUAAUCUAAUUGUUGCUAUAGGAUAGGAAUCCUUAAAUUUUGAUUGGAUCGAAUGAUGAUCCGAAUCAAUUUGGCUUACAUAGCUUUUAUUUUAUCACGAACGAUCAAGUUGUGUCUGCUUAAUUCGCAUAGUUUUUAAUCCGUUUGGCUUAAUUCGGAAUUUGGGAAUGUACUCGCAUAAUUCCUUUACGCUUGUUAAUGGUAAUUGUAAUGAAUAGAGCAGACCCGUUAGGAUUUGGGGAUUUGGAAUUUUAUAAGAAUCAAUGAUAAGUCGGAAGAUGAUGCAGUAGGUUGGUUCGUGUCAGCUUAUUUUAUAAUCACUUUUAAAAAUCACUUUUUCGAAUCUAAACCAACCAACCCCCCCUCCCUUUUUUGUUCUAUUGGUAGACUAAUUAAACAAGAAUCCUUGAGAACGAUAUUUGAGUCAAUUUGUCGUUAAACUACAUUUUUGAAAAACUACUCGUUUUGAUCCGCGUGCGACAGCGGAUCAGUAACCAAUAUCAAAAUGUAAUAGAAACGUUUAGAAAUGUAAUGCCAAAACAUAUGAAAUUUAUGCCUUCUCCUUUGAGUUUUGCAAAAACAAACUUUGAUUCUCAAACAACAAUUUAGACAAAUGAAUGCCUAUUGGAAAAGAAAAAUGAUGAAUGUAUGUAUUCUUUAAUUAAACUUGUUUCAUCAAUAAUAUGAAUGAAUGCAUGCAAGUCUAAACAAGCAAAGAACUUUAAGAAAUGUGGCGUAUGGAUGAAAUGAGCUUCAUGUGACUUAAAGCUGACCAAAAUUCCAACUAUCUCAAAUGAAAGUCCAAAGAAACAUUCAUUCUCAAUUAUAACUUAAUGAAACUCAAAAUGAAUAUCACAUGUGCUUGGACAUGGAAUACCAUGGUCUGACUAUUUAAAUGAUCAGAUGAAAAGGUACAAGAUUUUAACUUUAUACACUAAAGACUAAUCAAUGACUAGAUGAAAUGUAUAAUGAUACAAAUGAGAUACUAAUGAAUGAAUGUAGAUGAAUUAGGUGGACCAAAAUUUAGGGUAUGACAAUUUCCCCUAUUUAAAUAGCUUUACUGGAUUGGCAUGAGAGAUUGUAAUCCUCAUGGUAUCCUGGUUAAAGGUAUUUAAAUACAGAAGACCUAAAUUUUGCCCCUAGAUGUAAUGACAGGCUAUGCUAGGAGCUGAAGAACUUUUUUUUUUUUUGUUUGUCGGGGAUAUGAUAUGAGACAAAAUGAACCUUAUCAUGAUGUUUUAUGAUGGAUGAUGGACCUGUGGGGAAAGAUGGAGACAUGUGGUAGCGGUGACCUAUAGGGAAAUGACAAAGACAAUGAGGGGUGAAGUCUCACUGGGGAUAAAAAAUUGCUGGAGAAAAGGCAUUGGGGAAUAUUCAAAAGUGAGGGUUGCCAACUAGUUAUAGAUAACAAGCAAACACUUUAGAAUAUAUGAGAACCUAAUAUUUUUGGAGAUUUCUAACAAGAAAUAUAUCCCACACAAAGUUCUGGAGUUUUCUAAAAAGAAAAUCAUCCAAUCAAAGAAAAUGAAAAUCCCUAACAAGGAAUUUAUUUGAGGUAAACUUAGGGAGCUUUCUUAUAAGAAAGUCAUUAACUCAAAAGAAAACCUAGAGAUUCUUUACAAAUAAAUUAUCCAAGACAAAACUCAGGAGUUAUCUGACAAGAAAAUCAUCCAUGCAAAAGGCUAUGAUGAUUCUUUAGAAAGAAAUCAAUCAAGACAAUAUCAUUGGAGUUUUUCUAACAAGAAUAAAAUCCAAGCUUCUGAGAAUUCCUUAAAAUGAAUAAUCAUACAUGACUUUCUAAGAAACAUCAGGAAACAGAGUAAUCAAACUCUCUGUAUGUGCCAACAAAGUUGGACUUAGAUCGUAAGAAUUGGUUACAACCAACUUCUAACGGUUUAGUGCCAGUUGCAACUUGACUUUAAAUCGUGCUAAUAACAAUUGGACCAUACAAGGAUACCAGUGACAACUGGACUUGAAGAUAGUGCCAGUGACAACAGGACUACAGAUACAAAUGACAAUUGGAUUUUGAAAAUGAUGACUUAAGAAUAAUGUCGGUAACAACCAGACUUAGAAAAUAGCGUCAGUGACAACUGGACUUUCGAUGCCAAUAACAAUUGGACUUUUAAAUGACACCAAUAGUAACUGGAUUUGCAAAGAGUGCCAGUAAAAACUAGAUUUUAAAAAAUUACGCCAAUAACAAUUGGACUUUGAGAAUAGAUGUGUGGUGACAAACAAACUUUGAAAAUGGUGUCAGUGACAACUGGACUUUGGAUGCCAAUGACAAUUGGACUUUAAAAACCAAUAACAAUUGGAUUUUGAAAAUGAAAUGACUACCAAUGACAACUGGACUUUAGGUAAUGACACCAAUAACAAUUGGAAUUUAGAGGUGUCAAUGACAAUUGGACUUUUCAUUGUGCCAAUAACAAUUGGACUUUGAAUACCAAUAACAAUUGGUUUUUAAACAUAGUUCCAGUUUCAACUAGACUUUAAGUACCAAUAACAAUUGAAUUUUAAAACAGAUAUUAGUAAAAACCAGUCUUUGAAAAUGAUACCAGUGACAACUGGAAUUUAGAUACCAAUGACGAUUGGAUUUUAGGUAAUGCCAGUGAUAAUUGGACUUCAAAAUAUUCCAAUGAAUUACACUUUAGGCUAUGCAUGAUUGGAUUUUCUUUUAUGCAUGAUAUAUGAAUGAUCAUGAUAUGCAAAUGCUGACCCUAUGCAGACUAGGAGUUUACAUAGACUGUUUAUGGAGGUUCUAAUUCCUUAACACCAAUAACUCAACAAAGUGCUUGUGAUAGAUAUAUUCAAAGGAUAAUCUAUCAAGCUUGACAGUUGCAAGUGGCCAAGGGGACCCUUUUGGAGGAUUAAUGGAUUGUUCUAGUAUGACUUCCCGGAACUCAUCUCGGGAUUAAUAGUUGUUGACGUAUGGUAGAGUUUGUUUGACCAGCUUGAAAGCACUGAGAGGAGUUGCCCCAGUCUGAGCCUUUGAAGAUGUUCACCUUGAAAGAAGUUUGGAAGCAGCCUAUCAUAACUUGCCCAGAUGUUGAAUCUUCCAGUAGUUUUCCCCCGAUUAACCAACUUUUGGAAUGGUUGGCUUCUGAUUGACCAUCAUUUGGAGAGUGGGGUUCAUUGAGCUCUUUGUGGUAGCUCACCCCAGUUUAAGUCUUGAAGCAAUUUGCUCUUGACUAACUGACUCUUAGGGUGGUUGUCUCGGAUUGAAUGAUACUAAAAGUGAUUUUCCCUUGACUUAACUACUUUUACAUGAUCAAGUUCCUCAAUUGAUUAUGCAUUUGUUGGAAUUUCCUAUAUGCUAAGUGUUAACUUGCAGAUAAAAUUGUUCAUUCAAAAAUAGUAAUUUUAAUGCAAUGUUCAUGCAAAUUUUUGAAAUCAAAAUUUAUUGAUAUUUAUUUGAUGAAAUUCAAUGAACGGGUCAAUGAUCAGAAUGCCAUGUUGAUCCAACCAUUCACAUUGUGCAAGAUGGUGCAACCAAUAUAAAUGAUUAACAAAGAUCUUUUGGAGUCAAGUUAAUGCAACCUUGUUGUUGUAUGCUUUCAGAAUGAACCUAGCCUCAAUUAGGUCUUUUAAGGGUUGUAAUAUGGUCUGGUUCUUGGUUUUCGAAACAAAGGAUAUAAGGCUCAAAAGUUUAAUUUUAACCCACCCCUUCUUUUUGAUGACUUCAAUUCUAUAUUCAGUUUAUUGGCACGCAUAUUUUACUUCAAGAGGCUUUGAAGGUGUGAUGGUAAAGAUGAGGGAUCGAGAUGAUAUUUUCUUGAAAUGGCAGUUACCUUAUUUUGUUUUUGUUGAGGGUUUUGAUAACCUUUUUUUUGUUAUCCCUAAUUUUGCUUGGACCGAUUCUUUGAAGCUUUCGGUCCACCCGGAUGCCCUGAUUUUUUCCUAAGUCGCCUUUUAUGGUCUUCAACUCAGUGGGCUCUUUUUUUUGUUGAAAAGUUGUGAUUGCCAUGUUAUUGGUUGAUGAGGAUCAACCAAUAUAAUUUGUCUUGGAUUUUCACGACUUCUUCAACACUUUAGGCUGUAUACGAAGGAUAACAUAUGGUUGAUCUCCUCAGGUGGGAUGCUUUCUCUUGCAAUUUGAAUGAAAAGUCAGAUUAACUAAACAAAUUACCCUGCCUCUGGUUAAGAUUAAAGGUUUUGGUUCCGAAAGAAACACCAACUUCUAGGAUCAAAGUGGUUGACUGUAGCGGUAAAUUCAUGACCAUUAAGUUAUGGAUAAACUUAACGUCAAUAAAACUAAAGUCGCCACCGCGCUUUUAUUGUUUCCAAGGGAAAAGGGAAAAGUACGAACAAAACCCAAAGAUAAUAAGUUUUCAAAUCAAAACUAAUAAAAUGCCAGAGAUUAUGGGUAAGGGGGUUGGUUACACAGAGGGAAGGUGUUAGCACCCAAAGUGUCCUAGGUACUCCUAGGGAGCCCUUUUAUAUGUGUAUGUGUUUUUGGUAUAAAAGAUGUUUGCAAUAAAUAGAGUGUGGGGAUGAGAAAAUAAUUCAUUAAUUAUAUUUUUGUGUUUGACAAGACCUUCGGACUUGUGCCUAUGUACCAACAUAAAAAUGAGGGAUCAAAGCCUCAUAGUUCGUGGUAUCAAUUUCAAAAUGAGCGGAUUGCUUUUAAUCAAAAUUUAAGUUUAAAAGGUGCACAAAAGGGCCCAAAAGUUUGAAUGAGUGUUAUUUCUUUUUGUCUUUUGAAAUUUUAAGUCAAUAUGGUUAAGUUCAUUUACAAAUUUGAUUAAGAAAAGAGUUUUAAAAUGCAAUGGCAUAAGGCCAAAGUUUCUGAUUUGCAACAUAGUCUAAGUUUUGAAAUCACAAGCAAAGAAGGUUUUUGGAAAGAGGGAGAGAUUUUGAAAUUUAAGAAGUGGGAGAAGAUGAAGAGACUAAUCCUAAGCAUAAAAUUAAAAGUUAACAGUUGAAAAGAUUUGACCAAUGGGAUGCAAUCUAAUAGACAAGAAUGUCAUAUAGAAAACCCAAUUUCCCUUUGGACUUUAAAUCAAGAAAAUAUCCACAAGCAAUUAGCAAUAUGAAGAGAAAGACAUCAAAUAAAGAUAGCCACAUCCAAGCAAGAAAAUCCCAUAGCUAGUAGUCUCUUGUGCCUUCUUAUGCACCAGAUGAAAUACUCCUUGAUUAACUCAGAAUAAGACAUUAGACAUAGGUCUAAAGUAACAGUUGCAUCAAGACCAUGUAGCAGAUGAAUUCAUAUGGAUCCCAAUACUUGCAUCAGAUGAAAGCUCAAAUCAUAAUAACUUGGUCUCAGAAAUGUUGGCAUUGGCCAAGUCCUUUUGCAUAUGGAAUGUUGCAUAAUUCUAAGUCCAAAAGCUCAGAUCAAAUCCAACAGUCCACACAAACAUUUUUUAGGGUUUUUGUUGUUUAUUAAGUAUUUUAAGGUCCUAAGACCACAAACACAAACAAAAUACACAAACAAAUAUCAAAUCCAACAGUCCACACAAACAUUUUUUAGGGUUUUUGUUGUUUAUUAAGUAUUUUAAGGUCCUAAGACCACAAACACAAACAAAAUACACAAACAAAUAUAUACAAUCACAAUAUAUGGCUCAAGUGAGCAAAGUGAAAAUGACAUAAACAUAAAUAAGUUAAAUGGUAUGUAAAUGACAAAUGAUAUGGUAAAUGACUUGAAUUUAAAUUGCAUAAAGUAAAUGACUUGAAAAUAAAAGUAUUAUUAAUAAAAUUUAGUCAAAUGUUAGUUGAUUAGAUGUUAGUGAUGCUUUACUUUUUAAUUGAUUAAGUCAUUCUUUGGAGAACACUCAACCCUCUAUUCACAAGCAUGGAUCCUUGAACCAAUACAUCUUCCAAAGGAAGGAAAAAAGUUUAAGUUUCCACACAAUACCAUGAAAGGGGGGAGACUUACAAUCUCACUUACUAGAAUGAUAUGCCUUUAGGGUCAAAAUUUAGCUCUAUGUUAAGCAAUCGUAAUUGGACUUAUAUAGAAGUCACAACUAUCUGAGGUCAGGCAAUAGAAAUUUUGGUGUUAAUGCAUGUUAGAGAUAUGGUAUAAUGAACCAUACUCCUAAAACAUACCACACCCAAAAAGAAAAAGAUCAAAGGAUGGACCUAUCUCAUCCAUACUUAUAUUGGUUCAUCUAACACAAAGUUAUUGAUGAACCAAUUAGCCUUAGGAUAUUGAGACUUCAUUGUUUAAUGGAAACGAUGGGAGAGAAUGGGAUUGUUGAUGAGAGAAACACAAAUUGGUCAUGGGAGGAAUUUUAUCAAAUUAAAAUCAUUCAUUCAUUUUGGAAGAUGAAAUGUACAUUUCAUCAAUCCCCUAAAUCCAAUGGUUUUAACUCAACAAAAGUCAAAUCGACCUUGACCAAGGCCCAAACACAUAGUCAAACUUCAUAAGUCAAUAAAAAUCGCUCAACAUAAUUUCUACACAAUUAAUCAAUUAAAAAUGCAUUUAAAUUAAAUUUAGUUUGGUCAAAACCUAAAACCUCUUCAAAACACCAAAUAAAUGGCCAAGAGAUCUAUCCUAGUUCAAACAAGGUCAAAGGACCUUAGACAAAAAAUUUCAUAAUUUUUGAAAAGUCAGAAGUAUUUUUAAACAAUUAAAAAUAUGCACAAAAACAAUUAAUUCGUGAAAAAUAUCAAAAUUAAUCCAAAAAAUAAUUUUAAUUCAGAAAAUGAAAGAGGGAAAUAUUUAAAGAUUUUUGGUGAAAGUCCCAUAUUUUUUGGAUUAAAAAUGAAAUUAAUAUAAAUUAAUUAAAAUAAAUGGAUUAAACAUAAAAAUAAAAAAAAUAAAAAAAAACAAGGGCCAUCAGACCUCCCUCAUUAAUUGAGGUGGCCGAUCUGAUGGCCAAGCGUGCGUUAUACACAAUGGUCCUUAGUCAAUGUGAUGUAGGCUUGGUAAUCACUCUAGACGCGUGAGAUUAGAACAUGAGAACCAGAUCAAAUGGCCUGGAUUGAUCCAACGCACCACCGGAGCCCUAGCUCCAGUCAUCUUCUCUAGUGAUCACCGUCGGUCUGGUUCAGGCUCAACUCCAUGGAAAACGAAAAGUGAAUACACUAAUUUGAAGGAAAAAUGCUCAGGAGCACGAAUCUGGCCUCAAUUUUCUCCAAUUCCAAGUAUAUAAAAAGAUACAAGGAUUUGAAUUUUGAGGAUCAUGAACUGAGUUGCUUUUUCUCCAAUUCCAAGUAUAUAAAAAGAUACAAGGAUUUGAAUUUUGAGGAUCAUGAACUGAGUUGCUUCGAUUUGACCUCAAAGCAACUCAAUCUUCUUGCCUACAUUGAUAGGACUUCAGACAACUAAAAAUCACAAAGAAUGGUGAAGAAUUGAGGGAGAAUCGAAGAGAUGAAGUUUCUGAAAAUUCACCUUUAAUGGAGCUUCAAACUUGCUCGAUCUUGAUUCUAAUUGUGCCUGGCCUUGCUUCAGAAGCUUGUUGGAAGUGAUUAGGAUCAAGAAAAGGUUUGGACUCUUGGAGUUUCAAUCUCAAAUAGAUGGAGAUUUGAAACUCGAUUUUCAAAGAAAACCUUCGAGAUUAUCCUUCAAUGGUGAGGGUUUGGAUUGCAGGUUCAAAGCUUGGGCAUGAGGUCCAUAAUUAUGAGCAAUGAGGGUUGUAUUUAUACCCAAGGAGAUUUAUUUCCACACACUUCCAAAAAUGGCAAAAUUUGAGUAAUUCUCUUUGCAUGCUUGCAUGGGCGUGUGAUAGGCCUAUCAAGUGAUGUAUUUAGGUCCUAAAAUGAGUGAGAAUCAUGCUGAAAUCAUGUUGUGAGGCCAUUCAGUCGUGUAUGAAAUGUGGAAGUGAAAUUCAUCCAAAUGGUUCCUCACAUUGAACCCAUGCGCAAGUCCUUCAAUCCUUUGGCCAAAUCAGAUGAUCUUUGACUUUUUAGAAAGGUGAUAUCAAGGGGAACAACUUUAAUGUUGAACACUUUUUCAUUUGAAGCUUGGAUCAUGAUGAAUUUUGAGGUGGAAGUUUGGGAAAUCAAUCAAACAUAUUUGAAAAUUUUCUAAGUCCCAAGUCAAAUGUUCACUUCUUCCACCUUGAAUAACUUUUUCUAUGGACUUCAAAUGAGAAAAGGUCCUUCAUAAAAGUUGUAUAUCUUUCAAAUAUUUUCAAUUUGGUCACAAAUUUGACCUCAUUUGAAUUUUUCAUGAAGUAGUUAUGCAUUUUAGAAGUUGAGGAAAAUCACUUGUUCAAUGAUAUUGUCCCAAAAUGACCUAUAAUGUUCCGUCUUAGCACAUGAAUUUGCAAGUUGAAUUUGAACUUCAUCUAAACAUAAAAGUUGAAGCAGACAUCUUAAAUUUAAUAAUGGAAGUUGAAUGGAUUUCAUAUCAUUAAUAUUGAGCAAGUUAUGGUCUUGGGAAGUUGACCUCCAAACUAGGGUUCAGACAAAACAACCUAUAAUAUUUCACCAAAAAAAUGACUUUCCAAGCAAUAUUAGCUCUUGACUUAAACAUGAAAGUUGUUUGGAAUGUCAUUUUGAGUAACUUUCAUCUUAGAAUCAUUUUCAUAUGACCAAAAUUGCAGGAGAUAGGGUCUAGGGAAUCCCAGUUUUGACCAAUUGACUUUCUAUGGUCAACCACCAUGAACCAUCUUGCUAGCUUGACAUUCUAUUGACUUUUGGGGGUAAUGGAGGACCAUAUAGGCAUAAGAUGAUGUAAUAUGAAGUAUCCCUUGAAAUAUUUGAUCAAUUGUUGAAAUAACUUGUUGAAGAAGUCACACAAGGUACCCAGAUGAAUUAGGGUUUCCAAGGGAAACAAUCUCCAAACUCUUGAUGUAUUCUUGAUAAAAAUGAUAUGUGAAGAUCAUGGGGAUCCAUAUAUGAUGAUUAGAGCCAAAUUGAACCAUUUCUUGAUUGAACUCCUUGCAUUGAGGGUCUCAAACCCUAGAUGUGACCUUGAUGGGGCAUAGGUGAACACACACACUACCUACAAAAGCAACAAACUAUACAUUGACAUACUUUUUGGUAUUUUGGUUAGUAAGUAAUGAAAAAUAAAGUAUGAUACAAUCAAAUGUGUUUGGUGAUCUCUCCCAAUGCAAACCCAAUGGAUGAGAGGGGUAAGGAGGAUGCCAAGGUGUGAUCCCAAAGCCAAUGCAUAUGUUGAGAUGACAUGAGGGAUCUUAGGGUCAAAAUUGGGGUCUUAUAGCUGCCCCUAUUAAGGACAUUCUAGCUGAGGAGAUGAAGAUUAAAAUAUUUGCAUCAACUCAAUAGAAUGGACUUAAAUAACAACAUAUAGAAACAAAUUUUGGUCCUUAAGAGACCUCAUGAUGCAUAUGAUAUGAAUGUUAAAAGGAAUCUCUGUGGGGAAAAUUUUGCCGCAAAGGAAAAGAAUUUGGAGAGACUGAAAGUCUACAGGAGCAUAAUGCGUUCCAUAAAGAAAACUCACUGGGGAGACGGAGACUCUAGGGAUAAGAAGCCGUGCGUAGGCCUACGACUUAAAAACUGUUGGGGACACGAGGGUAAUUCCAUGAAAAUAAAUCAAUGGAAAGACUCAGUCAGGGAUAAAGGAAAAAUCUGCAAGGAAAGCGGGUAAAUCAGAACAAAAAUGAAAUACUCGAACCAAAUAGGGGAUUAGCGACUUCACUGAGGAAAUAUGCACUUAAACUCAACUGGGGAAGAAUGAACUUCAACAUAGGAGUACUAGAAUUAUAUUACCUAUUACCGGUUAUUGGGUAAGGAGAUAACAUAAUAUGACAGAGAGGCAUUCGUUACCGGUUAGGGUAAACAUAUCAAGGAUGACUCGCUGAGGGAAACAGGAGAUGUAUUUAUUAUCGGUUACUGGGUAAGAAAUAAUCUGCUGGGGAAAAGCCCAAAUAGGAUUUACAACUACUGGUGACUGGGCAGAAGACCGAAGAAAGAGGAUAUUUGUCACUAGUUAAAGUGAACAUAUCAAGGAUAAACUCAAAAGGAAGAAUAUCCGUCAUCGGUUAAGAUGAACAUAUCAAGGAUAUACUGCCAGGAAAAAAAUGGGAAUUAUAUCUAUCAGUUAUUGGAUAGAAUACCGAAAAGAGAAUAUAUGUCACCGGUUAGGAUGAACAUAUCAAGGAUAGACUCAGCAGGAGAAAGCAGGAUUUACAACUACCAGUUACUGGGUAGAAGACUGCAAAGAGGAGAAAACAUGUCAUCGGUUAGGAUGAACAUAUCAAGGAUUAUCUCUCAAAGGUAAGAAUAUCAGUCAUCGAUUAGGAUGAACAUAUCAAGGAUAUACUACCUGGGGAAACGUAAAACGAAUCCGCUGGGGAAAAUAGAGAGGAAGUUGAUUACUGUUACCAGGUAUUGGGUAAGGGUAAGGUACUCGUAAAUCGAGAAGAUUAUUACCAGUUACUGGGUAAUAGACUCUCAGGGGACCAAAAGCAUUUAUCUAGGUAAGAGCUAGAAAGAGACGGUCAAACAAAGACUCGACCCGGUGAGGAUAUAACUCAGGGGGAGUGGUUCCAUCUAGAUAAUCAACUGGGGAGGAAGCUGAAAUAAUAAUCAUCCACAAGGAAAUAACUCGGUGGGGAAUGAGAAAGGUUAAAAUAAAUUCUGCUUAAGGGGCUGACACUCUACAAUUGAGGGAAGACAGACGCACCAAAUCUGCAUGGGGAAAGGAUAUCACUAUAGCAGAGGAUCAAAUGCAACAAUAACGCAAUAAUGAAAUAUAUGAUGUAUGAGUGUAUAUGUAUAUGUAUAUAUGAUUGAUGAUUAUGCUGACAAAACAGUCACGAAGGAUACAAAUGUUAAUGAUCUGAAUCAUUGAUACAACACUCGACUAAUCUCUCAGAAUGGAGACAUCAACUAGAGAAAAAGUUAGGGAUAAACAUGAAUCAUCCAUCACAAAAAAGCUCGACCCUGGUCAGGGAAAGAGAAAAGAUCUGCUGAGGAUCUGCAUCAUCAACCCUGUGGGGAAUUUUAGGUCAACAUCAUGCCACAUGGGAGACAACCUUGCAGAGGACCAAAAAUAUUGCUCAAGAAACAGUGUUGGUGAGUUUCAGGAUUGAACUUUGCUGGAGACUUGAGGGGAAUAAAAAUAUAUGACGAAUUUAUGCAAACGGUUGAGAAUAUGCGCCCAUAACUCAGCUGGGGAGGCAAAUAACCAACUCGACUGGGGAAACUGAUUUGCCGUUGGGGAGGAAAAAAUGAUCAAACCAACUUCUUAGGAAGGACCAACAAUGCUCCACACUUUGGGACUCACCUGUUCUCAGACUGCUGUUGAUAUUCCUUAAUGAGAUCAAUUGCUCUUUUAAAAAUAAUUUCUUUUAUUUUUUAUUUUUUUUAAAAUAUUCUGAUUACAAAAUUUAAAUUUUGAAAUUAUCAUCAUAAAAAUUCAAUUUUAUUUAGCUUAAAGAUAAAUAAGAUUAGAAACAAUUGGGUAAAAAGCUCAACUUUAUUUAAUAGAAUGGUAGUCUGUAAAUGACAAGACUCCAUAGAUCUUUACAAAAGUUAAAAAAUGGUAAUUUACAUGGAAAAGGGCUACAUUGAAUACAAUGAUCACUAAUCCUUUAAAGCUCAACUUUAUUUAAUAGAAUGGUAGUCUGUAAAUGACAAGACUCCAUAGAUCUUUACAAAAGUUAAAAAAUGGUAAUUUACAUGGAAAAGGGCUACAUUGAAUACAAUGAUCACUAAUCCUUUUACCGACUUCAACGUCCAAUAUGCUCUUGACUUCGGUGGAGAAUGACAAAUCAGAGUUGACUGACUUGCUCAGGAUUGGAGAUCAACCGAAUGCAAUUACUUGCCAAAAUCCCUAUUUUUGCAUAAAUUUCCCCAAGGUGGGGUACUCAAUUUAUCGGGAUGAAUUUUUUCUGUUUUAUGUCUCUAAUUUUUUCCUGGAUCGCCCUUUCGGGUUUUCAAUCCACCGAGACACUCAUUUUUUCCUAAGCCGCCCUUUCGGGUUUUCAACUUAGCGAGCUAUUCUUUUAUUUUUAGGCGAAGUAUUUCUUGAUUGCAUUGGCAUUCAUAAGAUGUGUGAACUCUUCACCAUCCAUAGUUGUAAGAAUCAAAGCACCGCCUGAAAAGGCUCUCUUAACAACAUAUGAGCCUUCAUAAUUAGGAGUCCAUUUCCCCUAGAAUCUGGUUUGAAAGAUAAAAUCUUCUUGAGCACAAGGUCACCUUCUCUAAAUACACGAGGUCUGACCUUCUUAUCAAAAGCUUUUUUCAUUCUCUGCUGGUACAACUAACCAUGACACAUGGCAAUGAACCUCUUCUCUUCAAUUAAAUUCAGCUGAUCAUAUCUGGUCUGGCACCAUUCAGCUUCUGUCAACUUGGCUUCCAUCAGAACACGCAAUGAUGGGAUCUUAACCUCUACUGGGAGCACAACUUCCAUACCAUAAACAAGCGAGAAAGGGGUUGUCCCUGUUGAAGUUCGGGUGGAUGUGCGGUACCCAUGCAAAGCAAAUGGUAGCAUCUCAUGCCAAUCCUUGUAUGUCACAACCAUUUUCUAAAUGAUCUUCUUAAUGUUCUUGUUCGCAGCUUCAACAAUCCCAUUCAUCUUAGGUCUGUAGGGAGAAGAAUUAUGAUGUACAAUCUUGAAGUCUUUGUAAAGAGCUUCCACCAUAUUAUUGUUCAAGUUAGAUCCAUUAUCAGUAAUGAUCUUACUUGGCGCACCAUAUCGGCAUAUGAUUUGAUUCUUGAUAAACCUCACCACUACUUGCUUGGUUACAUUUGCAUACGAUGCCGCUUCAACCCAUUUCGUGAACUAAUCAAUAGCCACCAAAAUAAAAUGAUGUUCGUUCCAAGCUUUAGGCUCAAUCAUGCCAAUCAUAUCAAUUACCCACAUGGAGAAGGGCCAUGGAGAGGAAAUGACAUUCAAAAGUGUCAGAGGAACAUGAAUCUAUCUACAUAAAUUUGACACUUGUGGCAUUUCUUCAGGAACUUGCAACAGUCAUAUUCCAUUGUCAGCCAAUAGUAACCUGCUCUCAACAUCUUCUUAGCCAUAGCAUAUCCAUUGGAAUGAGUACCAAAGGAACCUUCAUGGACUUCAGUCAUCAAUAAGUUUGCUUCGUGUCUAUCCACGUAUCUGAGCAGAACCAUAUCGAAGUUUCUCUUGUAAAGCACAUCACCAUUCAUGUAGAAGUUUCCAGCCAAUAUCCUCAAAGUCUUCUUAUCUUUCAAAGAUGCCCAAGGCGCGUAAAUCUGACUUUGGAGAAACACUUAUUAUCAAAAUACCACGGCUUUUCAUCUUUGAUCUCUUCAACAGCAAACACAAGAGUUGGCCUAUCAAGACGCAUCACAGUCAAAUUGGGAACUUCAUUCCAAAAUUUCACAAUGAUCAUUGAAGCCAAUGUUGCAAGAGCAUCUGCUAUCCGAUUUUCAUCUCGAGGGAUAUGAUGAAACUCAACCUUUGUAAAGAAAGUUGAAAUCCUCCUCGCAUAGUCUCUAUAUGGUAUCAAACUGAGUUGAUUCGUCUCCUAUUCACCUUUGAUCUGAUUCACAACCAAAGUUGAAUCUCCAUAGACGUCAAGAUAUUUGGUUCUGAGAUCAAUGGCCUCUUUGAGCCCCAUAAUACAAGAUUCAUACUCAGCCAUAUUGUUUGUACACUUGAAAGUUAAUCUAGCUGUAAACGGAAAAUGAGUGCCUUGAGGAGUAAUAAUCACUGCCCCAAUGCCAUUACUAUACUGAUUAACAGCUCCAUCAAAUAUCAUGCCUAAACAGGAACCAGGUCAUGGCCCUUCUUCAAGGAAUGGUUCAUCACAAUCUUUAAUUUUCAAGUACAAGAUCUCUUCAUCAGGAAAAUCAUAUUGUACUGACUGAUAAUCUUUUAUAUGUUGGUGGGCCAAAUGGUCAGCCAAGACACAACCUUUAAUCGCUUUUUGAGAUUGGUAUUCAAUAUCAUACUCAGAUAACAGCAUCUGCUAACGGGCAAUCCUCCCAAUUAAAGCAGGCUUUUCAAAAAUAUACAUCAUUGGAUCCAUUUUGGAUAUCAACUAAGUGGUAUGAUUUAAUAUAUACUAACACAGAGGCUUAGCAGCCCAAGCCAAUGCGCAAUAAGUCUUUUCAAGCAUAGAAUACUGAGUCUCACAAUCGAUGAAUUUCUUACUGAGGUAGUAAAUAACAUAUUAUUUCUUUCCAAAUUCAUCUUGCUGACCAAGAACACAUCCCAUACUUUCAUCAAGCACAGUCAAAUACAUGAUCAACGGUCUUCCUUCAAUAGGCGGAGACAGAAUCGGAGGCUCGAGCAUAUACUCUUUGAUACUGUCAAAAUAUUUUUGCCAAUCUUCGGUCCAAUCACAAGAAUGAUCUUUUCGAAGAAGCUUGAAUAUAUGUGCAGACGUGGCAGUCAUAUGCGAUAUAAAUCUCGAGAUGUAAUUCAAGCAGCUGAGAAAACCUCUAACUUGCUUCUUAGUUUUGGGCGCAGGCAUCUCUUGUAUUGCUUUGACCUUGGCAGGAUAAACUUCAAUACCCUUCUCGCUAACAAUAAAGCCCAACAACUUACCAGAAUGAACACCAAAUGUACAUUUAUUGGGAUUCAAGCGGAGUUUCUACUUCUUAAACGCUGGAAUAGCUUCAACAAAUGCUCCACAUUUUCUUCUUCAUCACUUGAUUUGGCAAUCAUAUCAUCAACAUAGACUUUGAUCUCUUUAUGCAUCAUAUCAUGAAAAAGAGUGGUCAUAGCUCUCUGGUAUGUUGCACCAGUAUUCUUUAAACCGAAAGGCAUCACUCUAUAACAAAAUUUUCCCUAGGGUGUAAUGAAUGUGGUCUUCUCUAUAUCUUCGGGUGCCAUCUUGAUUUGAUUAUAACUAGAAAAUCCAUCCAUAAACAAAAAGACUUUGAAUUUAGUUGUAUUGUCUACCAACAUAUCAAUAUGUGGCAAAGGGAAAUCAUCUUUCGGACUAUCUUUGUUCAAAUCUCUAUAAUCAACACACAUAUGAACUUUUUCAUCCUUCUUCAGAACAGGCAUAAUAUUGGCCACCCAUUGCGGAUAUUCAGCGGUAACAAGAAAAUCGGCAUCAAUUUGCUUCUGCACUUCUUCUUUGAUCUUUACUGCCAUAUCAGGAUGAGUCCUCCUCAACUUUUGCUUGACUGGCGGGCAUUCUGGCUUCAACGGCAAUCUAUGCUCCACAAUAUCGGAAUCCAAACUAGGCAUGUCUUGAUAGGACCAACCUAACACAUCAAAAUAUUCUCGAAGAAGAUCAAUCAACCCCUUCUUAACCUCUGGACACAGUUGAGACCCAAUCUUGACUUCCUUCACAUAUUCUUCGGAACCCAAAUUGACUAGCUCAAUCUGCUCUUUGAACGGCUGAAUGGCAUUUUCCUCAUGCUCAAGUAGACGAGACAAUUUGUUAGACACUUCUUCAUCAAUCUCUUCCUCAGCCUCAAACACAGGGAAACCAAAGUUCAGAGAGAGAGUAGGAUCAUUGUACUCAAUGGGUUUGGGAACCAACCUGCAUAAUGAUUUGAUAUUUUGAUUUUAGAGAAGUGAAUCGUGACCAAUUAUUAUGCAGAUGCAUAAUUAUUAUCUAUUUAUUUAUGUUUUUUGUGAUUACCAUUUUUCAGAAAAGAAAAAAGUAAAAAUAAAACAUCAUAGAUGUGGGUGAAUAGAAUUGCAUUUUAUUGAUGAUAAAAUUGCCUAACAAUGUUCACUUCUCCCUUAGGCAUAGGAGAAGGGUUUUUUCUUAAAAUAAUGAAAAAAAAUAAAUUACUUAGAGUGAUGGAUAAUAACGGGAACAUCAACAGCAACCCAAUUAUUGUAAGCCUUGCAAUGUGUCACAAAGUUGGCGCAGUCUUCAUCUUCAUCAUCCUCGAUCACAGCAGCUGAGUGUUGUUCAUUACCAUGGAUGAACCCUCCGCUAUGAAAACUCGAUUGCAUUUCUUUAGCUUUUACAUUAAACGACCCUUGUUGAAAUCCUAAUCCGGCCCUAUUCUUGUUCUCGCAGACUUCUACCAUUCGGCCCCACUGAUCUAUAUUGCCUGCCUCAAUAGCAUUUUGAGCAUCUUUGAAAGAAGACAUGGGUGCCCCAGUUUUCUUCACUUCAGCAAUAGACAAGGCUUGGAACAGAGUUCCAACCUCCUCCUCAGCUUCAACAUACAUAAAAGAUGACAGAUGGCUCACCAAGAGCGCUUUCUCUCCACCCACAACAACAAGCUUGUCGUUCUUCACAAAUUUCAAUUUCUGGUGUAGAGUAGACGUUACAGCUCUAGCCUCAUGAAUCCAUGGGCUUCCCAACAAGCAGUUAUAGGUCGGAUGGAUAUCCAUUACUUGAAAAGUAAUUUGAAAAUCACUCGGAUCUAUCUUCACUAAAAGAUCCACUUCUCCAAUGACGGUUUUGUGAGAACCAUCAAACGCUUUGACAAUCACGCCACUAUACCUCAUCGAGGCGCCUUGGUAGAAUAAUCUGGACAUCGUUGAUUUUGGGAGUACAUUCAAAGAAGAACUGGUAUCAACCAACACAUUAGACAGCGCAUCCUCCUUGCAGUUCAUAGAAAUAUGUAGUGCCAGAUUGUGAUUUCUGCCUUCCUCGGGAAGUUCUUCAUCAGAAAAACUCAGAUUGUUGCAAGAAGUAAUGUUAGCCACAAUAUGGUCAAAUUGAUCCACAGUAACGUCGUGCUCAACGUAGGCUUCCUCCAACACUCUUUGAAAAGCUUCUCUGUGUGCUUCGGAAUUCAUUAACAGAGACAACACUGAAAUCUUCGACGGAGUUUAGAGCAGCUGCUCCACCAUUUUAAAUUCACUCUUCUUGAUCAAUCUUAAUACCUCAUCAUCAUCAUUAGGCUUCAGCUUGCUGGAUUCACCAGACUGACAUACAGGAGCACUAAUUGGAUUCAUCAUAGGCAUAUCAACCUUCUUACUGACUGCGGCCUCUUUUACAUCCUUUGGAAAAACGGGACCAAAAACAAGACCGCUAUGGGUCACCUUUGCAAUAUCAGCUAUAUUCACAAUAUAAUUUGUCGUAGGCAAUGGAACCUCUUGACCAUUCUCCACCGUUAUGGCAUUAUACUGAUAAGGCACGGCUUUAUCGGAUGCAUACGGGAUAGGGCCCGCUAACUGUAUCACUAACGGUGAUACCAAUCUAUUGAUGUUGUUGUUGUUGCUACUAUCAAAUUGAAUGACUACCCGCUCAAGGGUCUUAAAUAUUGGUACUAUCACAUUGACAUCAUCUACUUCCCUUGACUGACAAACUUGGAUAAGCCUUUCAUCUAUCAAUCUUUGAAUGUCCCUCUUGACAAUGAGACAUCCUCGAGGGUUCACACUGCAUACCACAUAACCAUCAUGGUCGUGCUCACACUCCCUGACCAAACAUAUAUCUCUAUGAAUUGCAACCAAAGAUUGUUUGAUAUGGCGAACAUCAUAAACCUUAUAUUCUCCAUGGCAAUCGCCUACCAUGUUGACAAAGGAUUUACCAUGAGUGGGCAAUGGAUUGGAUUUCAUAUUUGGUGCGCGGUCCUCAAAGGACACCAUCCCAUUCUUCACAAGUUUUUGUACCUCAUACUUCAACGGGUAACAAUUCUCAAUAUCAUGGUCGGGAGCUCCAUGAUGAAAGGCACAACGGAGUUCAGGCUUAUACCACCAUGGAAGUGGUUCGGGAAUUUGCGGCGGAUUUCUUGGUUGAAGUAGGUUCUUGAGAACCAAAGAUGGAUAGAGUUCGGCGUAUGACAUAGGAAUCGGGUCAAAAGAGACCUUCUUCCUCUCGAAGUUUUGUUGCUGAUUAUUAUUGGUGUUGUUGUAGUUGGUUCUUUGUUGCGUUUGUUGUUGAUGUUGUUGUUGCUGAAUUGGAAUAGAUUGAUUGUUGGAGUUACUAGAAAACAUUGGAAUUACUGAUGAAACUUGAUGCUGAUGCUGACAUGGUUGAUUUCUUAUGACAUGAGGCCUCAUUUGCCUCCCCACAGAUACUGCAUUGGUUUCCCCCUCCUUCCUUUUGGCAAACCCGCUUCUAUAUUUCUUACUAGAUGACACCUCUUCCUUAGACAUACGUCCUUCUCGGACUCCUUCCUCUAACCCCAUCCCCAUGUUCACCAUUUCGGUAAAGUCACUGGGGGAACUGGCAAUCAUGCGUUCGUAAUAAAACGAACUCAGGGUCUUUAGGAAAAAUUUUGUCAUCUCCUUCUUGUCGCAUUACGCGAAAAACCGGCGGGAAAACGAAACAACAGAGCCGCCACCGUGCAUUAUUUAUCCCAAAAGCGGGAAAGGAAACGCUCGAAGUAAACCUGGAAAGGAAUGGUCUCGCGACCAGAGAGAGAUGGGAUCGGGAGUCGGUUAUGCGAAGGGAAGGUAUUAGCACCCCUACGCAUCCGUCGUACUCGACGGGAUCCACGCNGAAGAUCUUCAUCUGGAAAUUCCAGAUCCAACAAAAAUGUUCCAGAAACUAACAAAACCUAUAUCAAUCAACUCGCCAUGCCUCAUACAUCAAGAAUCCAACAAUAAUUCAUGCAAAAACAACAAGAUAAGCACGGAUCGAAGAGAAUCAAAAUCAACAUCAAAACUUGAAAUGCAUGUAUCUUGCUCAAAACAGCACCAAAUCACUCCAAAUUUUCAUCAGCAUUAUCACCAAUCAAUGAACUACACAAUAGGCAUAAUGAAUUUGAGAAUUAAAGAGGUCGAAAAACUGACCUCUUGAUGAACAGAAUUGGAUUCAUGUGCUUCCAAGCCUUGCCACGCUUCAGAUCUUCUCCUAUGAUGCUUGUGAGAUGAAUGAUGAUGAAAUGGAAGCUCAAUGAUGCACGAAACCAGUUCAAUCUUCAACUGCCAUGGAUGCUCCAAGCUACGAACAUGAACAAGAAUGCCACGAUUUCCUCUGCUUCCACGUCUAAUUCUACUCAACAACACCUCAGGAUGAUGAAUGGAUCAAUGAAAAGUGUUCUUGUUUGAAGAAUUUUGCAAAAAAGUUUGAGAGAAAAAUUUGGAGAAUUUUGUGAUUCUAGAUCUGAAAUGUAACUUCUAAUUAAAAACAGUUAUGAUUAAGUAUAUAUGCUCCAUACUAAUCCUGUUUUAAUCAUGUUUAAGCUUAAUACCAAUGUAAUUAACCAAUUUGAAAGUGUAUGUGCAAAAAUGAUAUUUCCACUUCAUGCACCCCCAUGCACGUGAACAGUGCAUGUUCAAAGCCCAAAAUGCCUUAAAAUGAGUCCAUGCACAUAUUAGAAUUGGUUGCAGGAGAUGGAUUACACAUCUCUUUUAUCUGCCAAUUGCCUCUUAAGAGGUCUUUACCUGCUUGGCACAAAAAUAAACAUUCACAAGCAUUGCCUCUUAAGGAGGGCUUCAGACAGGUGCCUGCCCAUAUAACAGGACAGGUCUUCCAGACUACAUGAAGUCAAAGGAAUUAUACCUCAAUGGUUAAGCAACCAAGUAAAGCAAAAGCAAGUUCAAAUGAACUCUAAGCAACUUAGGUACCUGUGAAAAAUCUAAACUAAUCAGUUCAACUGUACAGACAAACAAUCAACAGUCAUCAAGCAAUAAUAAACAGACAGGCAAUGCAUCAGGCACCAAUGUGCAAGCCAUAAGGCACAACACAAAUAAAUUGGUAUCAAACUAAAAAACAACACAAUGUUAGCCAAUCAUCAACCAAUUAAUCAAACUCAAAUGAAUGAGCGACUCCAAUCAUGGCAAUGUGCAUCUGAACCUGAAAUCCAUAAUCCAAACAGUGAGUCCAAACCACUAGGUUAAAGCUUAGGGUCAACAGAGGGUCAAACAUUCAAAACAGAACUUGAAAUUUAACAUGAAUCAUCUUCAUUCAAUCAGGAACAAAUCUCAAAAAGUCCCACAUCAAAAUCAUUAAUCAUAUUCAUUUCAUGAUCAAAACAUGGCAAGGCAUGCAAAUGGUGACCACAUUGAGACAUUAGAAGAAACAAAUGCACAUCAAAUCAAAAAUGACUCAAAUAAUCUUGGCAAAAAUCAUGAGUACACAAGACAUAUAACAUGUUCAUCAUACAAAAAAUCAGAGGCACUGGACAUCAUUAGGCAUGGCAAUCACUUUGCAUAAUCAAGACAAACACAUGUGUGACACAAAUUGUCACACCAAGUUAGCAUAAGCAUAAAACAGAGAUGAAUCAUGGUAAAAAUCUCAAACCAAAGCCAAAACAUCACUCAACAUGUCUAGAAAUCACACACAAAAUUUCAGAAGCAUUGGAUCAUUUUUGAGCAUUUUAUGAUGAAUGGAACAAGGCAAGGUCAAACAUACAUACAUGUGCAAUCACCCUAGGACAAAUCAUUUUUUAAGCCAGGAACAACUUGCAAUUUCAUGAUCAUAAAAAAGUAGACAGAAUGAGGAUCAUGAUGCAAAAAAUUGGAGAUCAUUUGGAUUAAUUUUCAAUUUUAAAUGAUUUUUGGAAGUUGAGGGAAAAUUUGGAAAAAUGAAAUGAACCAAAGAAUGGAAAUAUGAGGGAAAGGUAGAAAAAUAUGAAGCAUUUUGAAAAAAGCCUUUCAACCGGAUUCGAACCAUGUGCACAUUUGAACUCCAAGCGCGCCAAAUGCAAAACGACUGCGUUUUGCCUUAAAACCCUAAGCGCAACAGGAAUCCGUUGCUGGAUCAUGGAAAACCGUGGCCUAAGCAAUAUUCGUAGCUAAUUUGAAUUACGCAUGCAAAUUCGUAGCAAAUCUGCAGCCAAACCCUAGCGAAACCUGGAAACGUAUGAAGCUCAUGAAGAUCAUGAAGAUCUUCAUCUGGAUUUUCCAGAUUCUUACAAAAGUGUCCAGAAAUGAAUGAAACUUAGACCAAUCAAACCGUCCUUCCACAUACAACAAGGAUCGAGCAAGGAUUCGUGCAAAAACAACACAAUCAAGCCAAAUCGAAGGAAUCAAAAAUCAACAUCAAAACUUGAAAUGCAUGGAUCUUUGUGAAUAUUGCGCCAAAUCACUCCAAAUUUUCAUCAGCAUUAUCACCAAUCAAUGAACUACAAGAAUAUCACGACCAUUUGCAAAAUAAAAGAGAUCGAAAACUCACCUUCUUGAUGAGCAGAACUGGAAUUGGCUCGUUUCAAUGCUUGUGAAGGUCCAGGAAUCUUCUAUGAUGCUUGUGGAUGUGAUUGGUGAUGAAUUAGAAGCUCCAAUGCACACGAAUUCAGUUCAAUCUUCAGCUGCCAUGGAUGCUUCAAUCUUUGCACAUAGCUCAAUAUGUCACGGUUUCCUCUGCUUCCACGUCCAAAUCCUCUCAACAGUGCCUCAGGAUGAUGAAUGGAUCAAUAGAAAUUGCUUAUGCUUGAAGAAAUUUGGAAAAGGUUUGAGAGAAUUUUUUUGAGAUUUUUGUGAUUCUGGAUCUGAAAUGUAACUUCUGAUUAAAAACAGUUAUGAUUAAGUAUAUAUACUCCAUACUAAUCCUGUUUUAAUCAUGUUUUAGCUUAAUACCAAUGUGAUUAACCAAUUUGAAAGUGUAUGUGCAAAAAUGAUAUUUCCACUUCAUGCACCCCCAUGCACGUGAACAGUGCAUGUUCAAAGCCCAAAAUGCCUUAAAAUGAGUCCAUGCACAUAUUAGAAUUGGUUUGGUAUGCAUAUGUUCCACAAAAAUGAUUUUAUGCAAUUUUCUUCCAAAAACUUCAUGAAUAAACCAAAGACCAUGCAAAUGAAAUUCAUGUCAAAUAAUGGUAUGCUUUGAAAAUACAUGUUACAAGGAUCAAAAUGCAAAAAGAACCACUCAUUUUGGAGUUUUGGUUUGAAAGUUAUGCUCAUUUGAACUUUUGAACACACUUUGCCAUGAUUGGACCAUAACUCCUUAACCACACAUGAUAAAUUCAUGAUCUUGGACUUUUUGGAAAUGGGAGAGAAAGAUAUUCAACUUUCAUGUUGGACAAAAUUUCAUUUGAAGCUUUCUUGAUGAUGUAAUCUUGAGUUGAAGUUGGUCCAAAAUCUUUCCAUUUUUGGAAAGUUCAAAUUACAGGUCACCUGCUAUUUUUGGAAAGUCUUGAUCUGACCUCAAAUUCUUCAAUGUUGAUGUUUGAAAUGUCAAAUGAGACUUGUUUUCACAUGAAUGAGGCAUCUCUAACCACUUCCCACCUCCAAAUCCAUAGUUGACUGUGCAGUUGACUUUUGUUGACUUUUUAGGGCCUCAGAUGAUUUGCACAUGCACUGAUGAGUUCUGAGCCUUCAAUACUUGGCCAAACCACUUCAAAAUGAUCCUUGAAUCAUGUGAACUCAUGGGAAUCACCCUAGGGCUUUGAUCUCAUGGAAAAUUCUCUUGUUGCCUUGCACAGUUGAAUCUCCUAACCAGUCUUGCCUGAUGAGAUGCAAUGGACUAUGUAAUGACAAUGCAAUGUUAAUGACCUAAAAAUGAAAUGUAUAUACAAAUGGGAGUGCAAAUUUGAGGUGCUACACUUAUCUUCCAACGGAGGGUUAAUCUGGGCGGCAAGCUAUCUCCACCUUUGGGCAUACUCUUUAAAUGUCUCUUUGUCCUUCUGAGACAUAUACCUCAACUGGUCUCUAUCGGGCGCCAUGUCCACAUUAUACUUGUACGGUUUCACAAAAGCUUCUCCCAAAUUAUUGAAUGUGCGAACACUUGCACUAUAUAGCCCCAUAUACCAUCUCAGUGCAGCACCAGUCAAACUGUCUUGAAAGUAGUAAAUUAGUAACUGAUCAUUAUCGGUUUGAGUUGACAUCUUUCUGGCGUAUAUAACAAGGUGGCUUAACGGACAAGUGUUUCCCUUAUACUUUUCAAAGUCAGAGACUUUGAACUUCAUUGGGAUCUUCACAUUUGGUACCAAGCAGAGUUCAGCAACACUCUUACCAAACAAGGUUUUUUCCUCUCAAUGUUUUCAACUCCUUGCGCAGCUCAAGGAAUUGAUCCUUCAUUUCAUCCAUCUUCUCAUAAACAUUUGGGCCCUCAAAUGGCUUAGAAUGGUAGAUGGUGUCCUCAACACGAGGCAAGGUAUGAACAACUAGAGGUGGCACAGACAUGAUCGAGCUAGAUGCCGGUAUAGAAAAAAAUGUGGGUGCAAACCCUUCAGGCAUGAAAUUUUGUGGCAUUCCCCACGGGAAUCUAGCAGGCAUAGUCAUACUAGAGGAAGAUGGACCCUCUGGCUCUCUCUGUCUCUUCACUGCUCGGUCUUCAAGAAGUUCAAUAAGCGCGUCUUUGUCUUUUGACUCAAGCUGCAACUCCUCAUGCUUUCGGCUUAAAGCAUGGAACCUCUCUUCCCACAUAUCUUUCUCUUGCUUCAUUUAAGCAAGUGCGUCUUCCAACUCCUCUACAUCUUGGUUAGGGAGAGUUGAUGGCUCAACCACAACCAUAGACAUAGGUCUAUCACAAGCAUACGACAUCUUCAGCUCCAAAGCUCUCUUCUUCACCUAAGUAGUAUAAGGUUCCAAAGCUACACAGUUGCACGGACCAAGCUCAAAUCUUCCUUUCCUAUGCACAUUAUGCCAAGCAUGUAUCAUCUUCUACUUCAAAUGUUGGGGAUCUUUACCCUCUUGAUAGAAAAGACCUUUUAACUAAGUGUUAUUAGGUUUGUCUCUCAAGGGGAACCCGAGUUGACGACGAGCCAAAGCAGAGUUGUAGUUGAUUCCUCUUUGUGUACCAAUGAGGGCACAUUGGAGAAUUCACCACAACUAUCAAUAAUAUACAAGCUACCCAAUGCAGAGUCAUACCAAACAAUAUCAUCAUUAGUGAGGGACAUAAGUCUCUAAGACCACCGUAGACAUUGUUUGUUCUCUAUAAAAGCAGGCGUCUGAGGCAAGUGCAAAAUAAACCACUUGUAUAGGAGAGGAACACAACAUACAAUAGUCCCACCACCUUUGGAAUUCCUCAAAUGCAAAGAGAAGUACACAUCACCCAAUAGAGUAGGCACAGGAUUCCCAAUCAAGAAGAUUCUAAUGGCGUUAACAUCAACAAAAUUGUCAAUGUUAGCGAACAAAGCCAAACCAUAGAUGAGCAACACAAAGAUGGAUUCAAAAGCGUCCACACUACCGGCUUGAGAAAAGAUAGUAGCUUUCCCAAUGAGGAACUCAGAAGUCAACCCAAACAUUCCUCCUAUCUUCACCCAAUGAUCUUCAAUGUCAGACUUCUUCAGAUGAAGAGCUUCAGCUAUAAGAUGAGAUCUGGGAAUCUCCUCCAAUCCAUUAAAAGGUACCUUGUCAGAAAUAGGUAUUCCCAAGAGAUGGCCAUACUCCUCUAACGUAAGCAUAAAUUGAUAAUCGGGAAAGGUGAAGCAACAAUAGAGAGGGUCAUAAAACUGAACCAACACACUCAAGAGUCCUUCAACCAUAUUAGUAGAUAACACAGAUAGAAGCUUCCCAUGACAUUGCUUAAAACCCAAGAGAUCUAAUACAAAAGAUGAUAGCUUCCUUAGCUCUUUCAAAUCGGGAUAUCUGAAAUUGUACUUCUUAGUGUUCCUUAGGCCACAAUCCAUGGUCUGAAAAAUUUAUAAAUAAAGCUCCAGCUCCUUGAAGUUUUUUUUUCGUGUGAUGAAUGUCAUGAUGCGUAUGAAUGCAUAGAUGCAACAAUCACAAAUAAGGGAUCACAUACAAGGCAAGCACAAAGAAAGGUCAAGGGAUGAAUCAAGUCUUUGUCAAGAUCAAUCAUCCAUUUUGGUGGAUUAUGGUUUUCACCUUAUCAACACCCAAGUUUCAUUGAUAUUGACAAGACUUGAUUGGAUCAACCAAGAAUCAAAGGGUUUGUUGUGAGUCACGAGCAUGGAGUCAAGUUAAGAACCAUCCCAAAGGAGUGUACUAAGGAUACAAACUUGUAGAUCAUGUUCUAAAAAGUUCCCAGAUUCUUAAUUCCAUCUAUCGGAUAUUAUAGGUUAGGAUGACUAACUCAUCAACUCAUAAUAUUCUCAAGAGAAACUCGUCUGAGUCUAGUAUCGUGUAACAACUGUUAUCAAGUCUACACCUGAACAGUCUCCGCACAACGUCCUAAAUAGGCCAAGUUGGGUUAAAUGUUCUACGGUUCUCAGCUUCUCGGACCCCAAAUCAGAGAAAGUAAUGCCUAACCACAAAUAACUUGUGUGACAUUAAUAGCUCCAAAAGGGUCUCCCCUGAGUAAAUGGGUCUCAAGCCAACUUGUUAAGGACUACUCCACACAAGUCGAACAUGACUAUACCAUCCUCUUAUCUUAAUUGCACUCAAGUUAGGGUUAGAACUUAUCUCACCACUCAUAGAUCACCAAGCACAACAAGCAGAUUAUAUCACACAAACAAAUAUACAAACAACAAAUAUACAAUUAUAUACACAUAAAAAAGUAGGCUAAACCCACUGAGGACUACUCCCAAGUAGAGUCGCCACUUAAUUUCUGUAGCAGUAAAUUCAUGACCAUUAAGUUAUGGAUAAACUUAACGUGAAUAAAACCAGAGUCGCCGCCGUGCUUUUAUUGUUUCUAAAGGAAAAGGUAAAAGUACAAACAAAACCCAAAGAUAAGAAGUUUUCAAAUCAAAACUAAUAAAAUGCCAGAGAUUACGGGUAAGGGGGUUGGUUACACAAAGGGAAGGUGUUAGCACCCAAAGUGUCCUAGGUACUCCUAGGGAGCCCUUUUUUAUUUGUGUAUGUGUUUUUGGUAUAAAAUAUGUUUGCAAUAAAUAGAGUGUGGGGAUGAGAAAAGAAUUCAUUAAUUAUAUUUUUGUGUUUGACAAGACCUUCGGACUUGUGCCUACUUACCAACAUAAAAAUGAGUGGAUCCAAGAGGGUUGCGUCCAAUGAUGAGAUUGAAGGAAAAGAAUUUGAAGAUCGUCGUGCCAAUAUCAAAAAGUUUGUUGAUUCCAACCUUCAAGUGGCUGAAAAUGAGCAGUUAGUAAUGCCCAAAGUGACAUGCCAACAACCACUACUUUUUGAUCUUCAUUACAAACAAUCCUGGUUUGUAUUCCUAAAAAGGAAAGAGGAAAUAUCGAUAAAACCCAAGAAAGAACUUUAUUUAUUCCUACUUUGUGCUCAUUUUGCAUUGACCCAGGUCUUGUUGUUGAUCCUAUAUCCUUUGACCACUACUUUUUGAUCUUCAUUACAACCAUAAUCAUUGUCGUUCUUUCUUGGGUUUUAUCGAUAUUUCCUCUUUCCUUUUUAGUAAUAAAUAAAGUCCGGUGGCGACUCUGUUUAGUCCAUCAUGCGAGUGUGCGAUUGCGCUUCGCUAGGUCGUAUUCUCAUUUUUCGAGGUGCGACAGAUGGCGACUGCUGGGGAUAAUGUUGUUUCCUUGAGUCAAGCCUAGUUAGGUCGUUUCUAUGCCUUUGUUUGUUUACUUGUGUGGCUUUUCUUUAUUGUUUUUGCUAUCUUUAUUGUCAUAUUAAUAUAAUCAGUUGUAUUGGUUCCAUUACACUUUGGUACUUGGAUACUCUGAUCUCAAACCUUGAGGGAAAGACUUUUUACCCGAGUCUCGAGUAAAAACAUAAGAUAGGACGAGGUUGAGUAGUGCGGGUCUGCGAGAUGAAUUUCUCGUUGGGUCAGUACGAGAACCUCACUUAGAGUAGAUCCUUUGGAUUUGGAGGAUGUUGUUGCUCGGCAAGUAAGUUGCCGUAAGCUUCGAUAUUUUCAUAAGGAUCCAUGACUCUAAGGACCAUUUGUAGAACCUUAAUCAUGUGUCCAACUAGGAAAGAUGGUUGCGUAGUAUGGGUCUGCGAGAUGAAUUUCUCGUUGGAUCGAUGCGAGAACCUCACUUAGAGUAGAUUCUUUGGAUGGAGUUGAUGCCCGACAAGUAAGUUGCCAUAGGCGGCAAAUAGUCUAAUGGAUCCAUGACUCUAGGAACUUUUUUUGAAACCCUGGAUCAUACCCGGUGAGAACCUAUUCUUGGAAAGUAAUCAGAUUCGUCAGUACCUCAGAAUUUUGAACCUGUGUAUUGAAAAAAAACAAAUAUACAUGGCUUGCAUUGCAUUCAUUCACAUUCCAUGGCAUCUGCAUCUCAUCAUAAUGCAUGUCAUUUUCCAGACAAAAUACAAAAAAAAAUCAUCCAUCCUUUGUCCAUGAUCAGCAAAGUUAUUCCUGACACGCGUUUAGAACAAAGAACCAUGUCUCAAGAGAUGAUGGACGAGCUAAGGAAAACUCAAGAAGCAUUGAAGGAAGAACUCAAUAUUUUGAAGAGCCAAAUGGGAUGGGUCGUGGAAACCCUGCAAGCCUUAUUGAGAAAAGAGGGUCAUCCCAUACCCAUUGUUGUAAUGGAGGGAGCUACUGCUCCACAUCCAUCAGGUGUUACUCCAAGUCAAGGGAAAUUCUAUGUGGAAACUCCUCAUCUACCGGUAUAUGGACCUCCCUCAAGACGUCAUCAUCAACAUCCUCUGGCUAUUCCUCCUCAAUUCCAUCAGGUGUUACUCCAAGUCAAGGGAAAUUCUAUGUGGAAACUCCUCAUCUACCGGUAUAUGGACCUCCCUCAAGACGUCAUCAUCAACAUCCUCUGGCUAUUCCUCCUCAAAAUCACCGAAGUCAGGUACAGAACAAAAAUCGAAAUCAGAACAAGGGGAACAAAAAUCACAACGACCCGAUUCCGAUGCCAUAUAGCAAGCUCUACCCACAGCUGAUCCAGAAUGCUUUGGUGACCCCUCGAGCUCUCACACCUACGUCACCAUACCUGCCAUGGUACAAUCCAAAUACAACAUGUGAAUUCCAUAAAGGGGCAGUAGGACAUGACCAAGAUUCUUGCUUAGCGCUGAAAGCCUUGGUACGAGAACUGAUUAGCAAAAAGAGCUUAGUCUUUGAAGAAGAUCACCCGAAGAUCAAGUGCGGAUACCAUACUGGAACAAUGGAGCACUCCGUCGAGGAAUGCAAGAGUUUUAAGCUCAAGUUGCAAAGAUUGAUUGACAUAAGGUCACCAACACUCAAGGAGGAAGGCUCAGGUACAUAUAUCUUGAUUUCUGGGCCAGGUAAUGAGAAAGGGAAAGGACCCCUGAAACCCCUCAAGGUUUUGUAUCACAAGGAAGAGGUCAAGGAUGUGGCUAAUGAGAUAUCAUAAUUUCCUGGUAAGAGCAUUAACAUAUUGCCUUGGAUUUCCAAUGUCAAGACUCAUGCCAACGGAAGUAAAGGAGAACUGAGUAGUGGAUCCAAGAGGGUUGCGUCCAAUGAUGAGAUUGAAGGAAAAGAAUUUGAAGAUCGUCGUGCCAAUAUCAAAAAGUUUGUUGAUCCCAACCUUUAAGUGGCUGAAAAUGAGUAGUUAGUAAUGCCCAAAGUGACAUGCCAACAACCACUACUUUUUGAUCUUCAUUACAAACAAUCAUGGUUUACUUCUCAUCCAAAUCAACGAGCCCAAGGCCCGACAUAUCGAAAUCAACGUCAAAAUCAGCCUAGGCCUCAAAAUAACUUGGAAAGAAGAAAUGUUCCUCGUCAUCCAAUCGUCAUGACAUAUAGCCAACUUCUGCAACCUCUGAUUCAAAACUCGUUGGUGGUUCCCAAGUCUCUUAAGCCGGUUCCACAACCUUACCCACCCGGGUAUGACCCAAACGUGCAAUGUGGAUAUCAUGUCGGAUCAGAAGGGCAUUCAACCGAAGACUGCAACGCUUUCAAAGCCAAAGUACAACAGUUGAUUGACAACGGGUACAUAGCUUUUCAAGAAGGAAGCUUGGUGGUAAACAUUAACCCAUCGACCGGAUAAGUAGAUCUCAAGGGGUGUCCCCAUAAGUUAAUGGAUCAAGUUUGAAGAAGUCAUUCCCUAAAGCUGGCAAUCAUUUGGUUGUUUCAGCAUUUCUUUUGUAGUUUCCUCGCAUGUUGAUUGUUAUUUGCUUUUAAGAAUUGUUGUUUUCUUUGAAUUGGUAAGAUUAAUGAAAUGUUUAUGCAUCUUUGGAAUUAAUCCAUUCGUAUUCACUCAUUUUUCAUUCAUGUUAAAAACAAAAAUACUCCUCUCAUUCACUUUUGUUUAUCAAACCGUUGUGUUAACAAAGAUUGGAAGGAGGAUGAUGAAAACGAAACACCUGAAAUUGUUGUGAUAUGGUUUUGAGUAAAACCUUGUCGAUGAUGUAAGGCAUUGUUUCAAAUCCCCAAACACUGAAGAGAUAAGGAGUUAAUCCCUAGUCAACCACUUUGAGCCUAGAAGUUGGUGUUUAUUUCGGAUCUAAAACUCGAUGAUGUAAGGCAUUGUUUCAAAUCCCCAAACACUGAAGAGAUAAGGAGUUAAUCCCUAGUCAACCACUUUGAGCCUAGAAGUUGGUGUUUAUUUCGGAUCUAAAACCCUUAAUCUUAACUUGGGGUAGGGUAGUUGUGUUCAGAUAGUUUGAUCAUGCAUUCGAUCUUUCAAAAAAAAUCGUCCAUAUGUACACCCUCCAAUUAGGUUCAACCACAUGUUAUCCUUCGAGCACAUGUUGAAGUGUCGAAGAAGUUGAGAAAAGCUAAAAUUAGUGUUGGUUGAUCCUCAUCCACCAAUAAUGUGGCAGUUAACACGUUUAAAAAAACAGAAAAAAGUCCGCUAAGUCAAGUACCAUAAAAUGACUUAGGCAAAAGUUAGGGCAUCCCGGUGGACCGAAAGCUUUAAAGAAGCGGCCUAGGAAAAAUUAGGGAUAAAAUAAAUAAAUCAAAAUAGGUUAUUAAAUCCUCAACAAAAACAAAAUAAGUUGACUGCCAUUUCAAGAAAAUCUCAUCUUGAAUCCUCAUUUUCACUUUCGCACCUUCGAAGUCGAAUGCGUGUAUUGAGUUAACUAAAAAUAGGAACUGGAGAUCAUCAAGAAGAAGGAGUGGGUAAAAAAUAAAUUUUGAGCCUUAUAUCCUUUUGUUUCAAAAAAACCGUGAACCAGACCAUGUUACAAUCCUUAAAAGACCUAAUUGAGGCAGAGACUAUUUUGAAAGCAUAUAACAGCAAGGUUGCGUUAACCUGACUCCAAACGAUCUUUGUUAAUCAUUUGAUCACAUCAUCUUGCACACUAUGAGUGACUAGAUCAUCAUUGUAUUCUUAUCAUUGACCCACUCACUAUAUUUCACCCAUUCAUAUAAAUAAAUUUUGAUUUCAAAUUUUUGCAUAAGCACUGCAUUAAAAUUACCAUUUUUUGAAUGAACAAUCUUAUUUGCAAGUCAACACUUAACAUCAAAUAAAAUUCCAACAAUAUACAGUUGAGGAACUUGAUAAAGUGAAAGAAGUCCAGUCAGGGGAAAAUCACUUUGAGUAUCAUUCAAUCCGAUUCAAUCACCCCAAGAUUCGGAUAGCCAAGAGUAAUUUGCUUCAAGACUUGAACUGGGGCAAGCCACCUCAGAAGCUCAUUGAGUCCAACUAUCCAAGGAAAGUUAAUCAAAAGUCUAUCAUUCCAAGAUUUGGUUAAUCAGGGGCAAACCACUACAAGUUUCAAACACUUGGGGCAAGCCAUCUCGAGAUCGUCUCAUGUCAAGCUGUUUCAAACUCACUUUCAAGGUGAGCAUUUUCAAAGACCCGUCAGACUGGGGCAAGAUGAGCCACAGAGGGGCAGACCCCCUUCAUGCUUUCAAACUACUCAAACAAAUUAUGCCACACGUCAACAACUAUUGAGUUUAAUAUGAGUGCCCGAAAAUUAUGCUAGCACGAUUCAUUAAUCCUCCAAAAGAAUCCCAUUGGUUAAGUUGUGGCUAUCAAACUUGAUAGAAUUCUCCUUUGACAACAUCUAUCACAAAAUAUUUGGUUGAGUUCUCGGUGUUAAGGAAUCAUGAUCUCCAUAAAAAGUCUUUACAAACUCCCAGUCCACUCAAGUGUCAUCAUUUUCAUAUCAUGGUCAUUCAUAUAUCAUGCAUAAAAGAAAAUUCAAACCAUGCAUAGCUGAAAUGUACUUUGUGCUCAUUUUGCAUUGACCCAGGUCUUGUUGUUGAUCCUAUAUCCUUUGACCUCUAAUUCCAGUUUGUCUUUGGUGCCCUUAAACCAUCAUCCGGUUUUCGCAGUCAUUUUCAAGCCAAAUCAAGUGCAAUUGUCCAUGAGGUUCAUUUCCUUUAGGAUUAUCCAUGAAUUUCGGAUUACUCCUUUGUUUAUUGAUGUAUUUCCAUAAUUGUCUGGUGUAUUUCCAAGUGUCCCACCUAUCGAUGUAUUCUCAAAUAUUUUGUCUUGUAUUCUGAUGUAUAGAAUUCCUCAAUGUAUAUCGUUUAUUUGUAUUCUGAUGCAUUCAGAAUAUCUUGUAAUUCUGAUGCAUUUCCAGAAUUCAUUUCUUUUACUCUCCGAUGAAUUUCCAGACAUGUCAUUUUUGUUCUGACGCACUUCCAGAACCUCUAUGUCAUUCCCUGACAUUAUUUCAAGCAUUAUUGGUGUCUCUUAAAAUUCAGUUGUCACUAGGCAUUAUUCCAAGCUCAGUUGUUACUAGAACUCAUUUUAAACCCAAUUGUCGUUGGCAUCACUGUCACUCUGUUUGUAAAUAUAAUUGUGAUUGGUAUCUGAAGUUUGGUUGUUGCCAACAUCAUUUAAAGUCCAGUUGUUGCUGGCAAACACCGUUGUAGCCAGUAAUUGUUUUACUAAAGCUUACAAUCAAAGUCCAAUUGUUGUUGGCAAAAUCCGUUAAAAGUUAGUUGUAAUCCAUUGCUUACGGUCAAAGUCCAAUUGUUGUUGGCAUCAUUCCGUUAAAAGUUGGUUGUAAUCCAUUGCUUACGUUCAAAGUCCAAGUGUUGUUGACAAAAUCCAUUAAAAAUUGGUUGUAAUCCAUUGCUUACGGUCAAAGUCCAAUUGUUGUUGGCACGUACAGAGAGUUUGAUUACUCUGUCUUUCCUGAUGGUUCCGUGAAAGUCAUGUAUGACUUAUCAUCUUGAGGAAUUCCCAGAAGCUUGGAGGUUUUUCGUGUUAGAAAACUCCAAUGAUGUUGGUUUUGUUUGAUUUCUUUGUAAAGAUAUCUUGAGGAAUUCCCAGAAGCUUGGAGGUUUUUCGUGUUAGAAAACUCCAAUGAUGUUGGUUUUGUUUGAUUUCUUUGUAAAGAAUCAUCGUAGCCUUUUGCGUGGAUGAUCUACUUAUAAGAAGAUUCCCGUUUAUCUUUGUUUUGCAUAAAUUCCCUGUUAGGAAUCUCCAAAAUCUUUGAUUGGAUGAAUUUCUUGUGAGAAAUCUCCAGAAUUGUUAGAUGUAUUCUAAAGUGUCAGGUCAUGUAUGAACCUAUUGAUGAAACUUGUUUUGUAUGUUUUCCAAUAUUGUCAGGUCAUGUAUGAAACUGUUGUUGAAGUUUUCUUUGGGUUUUCUAGUGUUGUCAGAUCACAUAUGAACCCGUUGUUAAAAUCUCUAUGAAACUUCCAGAAUUGUCAGGUCAUGCAUGAACCUGUGGAUAUACUUUCUUUGAAUUUUCCAGUGUCGCCAGGUCAUGUAUGAACCUAUUGAUAAAACUCCCCUCUAUUUUCCAAGUAUUGUUAGGUCAUGUAUGAACCUAUGGAUGAAACUUACUUUGAAUAUCCUAAUGUUGAGGUCACAUAUGAACCUAUUGAUUAAAACUUCCUUGGUUUUCUAAUAUUCCCAAGUCAUGUCUGAACCUAUUGUUGAAACGCUUUGAAUUUUCCAAUGCUGUUAGGUCAUGUAUGAGCCUGUUGAUGGAACUUUCUUUGUAUGUUUUCCAGUAUUGUCAGGUCAUGUUUGAAUCUGUUUAUGGAACCUUUUUAUAUUCCCUAACAUUGUCAAGUCAUGUUUGAACCUGUUAAUUGAGCACUCUUUGAAUAUUCAAGUGUUGUUAGAUCACAAUUGAACCUGUUGUUGAAAAUUCUUUGAAUUUUCCAGUGUUAUCACGUUAUGUACGAACCUGUUAAAAUCUCUUUGCAUAUUCCCCUGUUGUCUUUCCUCCAGCAGGAUUGUUAUCCCUAAUAAGUUUUCACCUUCAUUUUUGUUUCCUGCAGGCCACCGUUACAACAUGUCUCCAUCAUUGCCCACAGAUCUUUGUUUCAUUUUGUGUCCAUCAUAAAACAUCCUGUUAGGGUUUAUCUUAUGUCUGAUCAUAUCCCUAGCAAAUCAAAUAAAAAAAGAGUCAUUCAUUCAUGCAUUCAUCUCAUCUCAUAUCAUAUCAUUUGCAUUUCAGGAUCAAAAUUCGGGUCUUCUUAGUAUUUAAUUAUCUCCCACUAUGAUCAUAUGAAGAGUGUCCUGCUUCACAUCUCUAGUUGAAGAUACUUAAAUAGGGGCAACUGUCAUACCCCAAUUUUGACCCUGAAUCGCUGAUUCAAUACAUUCAUCAUAGAUAUUGCAUCUCUACAUAGCAUACCAUGCAUUUCAUACCGCAUAGUGCCUAGAAUAUCAGUCGAAAUAAUUUUUUCGGAUCUACAGGCAAACCGGUUGAAUUAAUCGACGAAUGUGCGUCAAAUCAGUGGACAAAAAUUUUUAAAAUCAAGCUUCCAGACAUCAACUUUAUUAAUCUACGUUUCGUGUAGUUUAACUUGGUGCGCUCAAUUUUUUUUUCGGCUAAUUUUUGGGUCACAUUCCGUCUGAACGUUUUAACCGGGCGUUUUUCAUUUCAAAAUUUGGUAAAAACAUGUAUGUUUUCGAGAAAUUUAUUUCACGCUGAUUAUUUUAUUUCAUUUUAUUUAUUUUUUCGAGCACUUUUACGUUCGAUUUUUAUUCAUUUUGAAUCUAUUUAUUUUUAUUUCUUUGUCAAAAUGAUCGAAUUAAUUGAUUAGAAAUUUAUAUAUUUUUGUUUCGAUCAAAUAUUCGUUUAUUUAGAUUAGUUCUAUUUUAUUUUUUUAUCUUUGUUUUUCAUAAUUUCCUUGUGAGAAAUCUCCAUAACUGUCAGAUGUAUCCUAAAGUGUCAGGUCAUGUAUGAACCUAUUGAUGAAACUUGUUUUGUAUGUUUUCCAAUAUUGUCAGGUCAUGUAUGAACCUGUUGUUGAAGUUUUCUUUGGGUUUUCUAGUGUUGUCAGGUCACGUAUGAACCUGUUGUUAAAAUCUCUAUGAAACCUCCAAAAUUGUCAGGUCAUGCAUGAGCCUGUGGAUAUACUUUCUUUGAAUUUUCCAGUGUCGCCAGGUCAUGUAUGAACCUAUUGAUAAAACUCCCCUAUAUUUUCCAAGUAUCGUUAGGUCAUGUAUGAACCUAUGGAUGAAACUUACUUUGAAUAUCCUAAUGUUGAGGUCAUGUAUGAACCUAUUGAUUUAACUUUCCUUGAUUUUCUAGUAUUGUCAGGUCAUGUCUGAACUUGUUGUUAAAACACUUUGAAUUUUUCGAUACUGUCAGGUCACGCAUGAGCCUGUUGAUGGAACUUUCUUUGUAUAUGUUUCAGUGUUGUCAGGUCAUGUUUGAACUUGUUGAUGGAACCUUUUGAUAUCCCCCAACAUAGUCAGGUCAUGUUUGAACCUGUUAUUGAGACUCUUUGAACAUUUCAAUGGUCAGGUCAUGUAUGAACUAACUGAUGGAAUUCUUUGAUUUUUUUCCAGUGUUGUCAGGUCAUGUAUGAACUUGUUGACUAAACUUUCCUUGAUAUUCAAGUUGCCAUCAGGUCAUGUCUGAACUUGUUGUUCAAACCUUUUUUGUAUGUUCCAUAAUACUAUCAGGUAAUGUAUGAGCCUGUUGAUUGAGCACUCUUUGAAUAUUCAAGUGUUGUCAGGUCAUGUUUGAACCUGUUGUUGAAAAUUCUUUGAAUAUUCCGGCUUUGUCAGGUCAUGCAUGAACCUGUUGUUAAAAUCUCUGUGCAUAUUCCCCAGUUAUCUCUAGUGAAUUUUUACCCUUAUUUUUUUAUUUUAUGUGAGUCACCUUUACUAUAUAUCUACAUCAUUCCCCAUAGAUCUUUAUUUCAUUCUGCAUCCAUUAUAAAGCAUCCUGCUAGAGUUUAUCUUGUGUCUGAUCAUAUCUCAAGCAACUGUCACACCCCAAUUUUAACCCUGAAUCGCUGAUUCAAUACAUUCAUCAUAGAUAUUGCAUCUCUACAUAGCAUACCAUGCAUUUCAUACCGCAUAGUGCCUAGAAUAUCAGUCAAAAUAAUUUUUUCGGAUCUACAGGUAAACCGGUUGAAUUAAUCGACGAAUGUGCGUCAAAUCAGUGGACGAAAAUUUUUAAAAUCAAGCUUCCAGACAUCAGCUUUAUUAAUCUACGUUUCGAGUAGUUUAACCUGGUGCGCUCAAUUUAUUUUUCGGCUAAUUUUUUGGUCACAUUCAAUCUGAGCGUUUUAACCGGGCAUUUUACAUUUCAAAAUUUGGUAAAAACAUGUAUGUUUUCGAGAAAUUUAUUUCACGCUGAUUAUUUUAUUUCAUUUUAUUUAUUUUUUUCGAGCACUUUUACGCCCAAUUUUUAUUCAUUUUGAAUAUAUUUAUUUUUAUUUCUUUGUCAAAAUGAUUGAAUUAAUUGAUUAGAAAUUUAUAUAUUUUUGUUUCGAUCAAAUAUUCGUUUAGUUAGAUUAGUUCUAUUUUAUUUUGGUUUAGUUGUUAAAAUUCAUUUUAAUUUUAUAAAAUUUUGAAACAAGGGUAUUUUUGGUGUUUUAUGUAAAUAAACCCUAACAGUAAGACGAUGCAUAUAUAUAUAUUAAGUUUCAUUGACCUACACAAAAAGAAAAAAAGCGGCGCCUCACUUAAGGAGGAACUCUCUCUCAAAUGUCAUAGCCUAACAAAAUCAAUAUUUUUCUCUCUUUUCUUCAUAAUACACAUGUAGCGAAAAUAUAAGCCACUAACAUUCAUCACCGAUACCAAGCGACGACGCACACAAGAACACAACACAACUGCGCAGCUGCCAUGCAACACUCGCCAUCGCGCCAGCCGCUCCAUCACCAUUAGUUCCCUUUUAUUCUCUUGUCGUGGUUUCCAUUUUUGAUGUUUUGCUUGUUUUACUUUUAUUUUUGUUAGUUUGAUUUAAGUAGUGUUUGGAUUUAAUUUUGAGAGACAUGGGAUAAAUUUGUUUGAAGCUUGGGAUAUUUGAAAAUAGAGAAAGAAAGAAAGGAGGAUUAUUGGAAAAGAAGAAUCAUGGUGCUUCAUUUCUCUCUCUCUCUCAUGAUGGUGAUAGGGUUAUGCAGCUAAUAAUGACGCAGAAACAGGUCACUGAUGCACAGGACUUGCAACUAACUGGCUAAAUUGGGGGGCAAGGAAGUCGAGAAUUAAAUGGAAGACUCGGAGGUUAGUGAUUAGCAAGCAGCAAUAAAGUACAGGUUGUUAAAGAAAAUUUAAUGCGAUGUAUUUUGUGGCCAUCAUCAGAUUACUCAAGAGGUUUGACCCAGUCAACGCUGCCCCAACCCUACAUACCACGAAAGAGAACAGAAGAGCACAAUGAUUUGGGCGAUGAAGGCUUCGGUACGAAAGUGCUCGGAUGACCACGGAUGCAAGAGGUCCGAGUAAAGACCAGAAUUACGAGCGGGCAUUGUGGUCAACCGUUCAAUAUCUGUCCGAUGUGCAAGUGCGGAGCCUGUAGAAUAAAGUCAUGUCUGCUGAAAGUGUCGGUGACGCGCGUCGACGAAGCGGGGGGAACAGAUUGGCGGGUGAAGCCAGCCAUAGUGCGAUGACUUAGCGGGCAAUGCGCCGUAGGUGCGACAGAUCGAAAGCAUAAAUCUAGUAGGGCGCGCUUAGCUACGCUUGGUAAAGAUGAACUUAUUUCAGAAAAGACGGUCGACCGGGGCGGAGCGUGGUUAACUAAAAGCCUAGGAGAAAGUUGAUGGCAUAACGUGUUGAUGUCCAGGCGUACAUAGUGGGAGGUCCGGCGUGUGGGGCACAUCAAGCAGUUUGAAGAUGAAAUGGGCUCCUUGAUGCGGCUCCGCAGGGAUUUAUUGGGGCUUUCAAUGUUCCGAAAGAUUGCAUCGUGAUUUGUAAAGUUGGUCAGAAUGCCAAUUACAUGGGGGCAUACCAGGCACGUGCCUGGCAAGCGAGUUGCAGCAUACAAUUGUGAAGACCAUGGGCAUUUCGAGAUGGGCUCUAAUGUUAUAGAGAAGAUAGAACCAGCCUCGUCGAGAACACAAAGGUAUGUUUUUAGGUCCGGUAUCGGGAGCAUGGUUCACAAAAUGGGUCGAAGGCCGCCGUAGCCAUUAAACAAAUGUAGACAAACGGGGGCUGUGAAUAGAUUUGUCGCAACGUUAUAUCAUCUGCCAGAUUUGGCAUCGCCAACAACAAUUACAACCGAACAGGGGUCAGUUCACUGGUUCCGAAAAGUGCAAGAUUUUGCAAAAGAAAAUGGGAAUGGCAAAUUAACUGCGGACUGUCUACCCUAUGGUACGCCCAGGUACUGGCGCAAGUGCGAGGAGCCUGCUAAUAAGGGGUGAUCAUCAUGCUAAUAAAGGGGAACACAUCAGGAAAGAAGCGAAGGGAAAUUGGCAUACCAGACGUGUAGAGCCCUGCAGCUUUGGGGCAGUGUUCGACGGUCACCCAAGAAAGCAACUGGAGAGCAACUCCAUUUCGACGUGGUGUAUGGGGCCAUGACGGCAGGUGUUGGCCGAGUAAGUAGGAUUCAGGUCACGGGCGGUCGGAACCCAAAGGCAGUAUGCAAAUCGACCUUCGUGAAGAUUACUGCAGUAUGAUGACAGACGAACUGGUGCGACGUAGAUGAAAAGAAAGAAUGUUAGCUUUGGAUUCCUGACCAAAGGUACGAAAGAAAAAGCGUCAGAGGCCUACGAUCGAAAAAGGUGAAAAGGGUGAAAGUGUUUGCUGGUCGAGACGGAUCUGGUUUGGAGACGUGGACUGCCAUGGACAGAAAAUGAUAGAGUCUUGAGUAAAUGGUCAGCCUAAUUGAGGCAAGGGACGCCGAGUUUAAGGGUUUGUGUUGAGGCCUUUGUCUCAAGCGAACGCCUGUACGAGGGGUCGAGGAGUUGGCGCCCGCAGAAAGGUGAUCCUAAGAGUGAAUGGAAAGUACUGUGAAAAAUCUAGGCCGUCCUUGUCGCACCUCCGAAAGACUUACAGCGACUUAUAAGGCGAAGCGCACAUGCGACCCGCUCGGAUCGCGCAUGAUGGACAAAACAGAGUCGCCAACCGGAGAACUUUAUCUUAUUCCUCAAAGGAAAGGAGAAAUACGAUAAAACCGCAAGGAAAGAACGACAAUGAUAUGGUCAGUGGCGGGCAACGCAAUACAGGGUUCGGGGUGCCGUACGGCAAGGGAAGGUAUUAGCACCGCCUUGACGUCCGUUGUAACUGCCACCGGGGAAGCAGUUAGGGGUAGUUGGCGCGGUUAUUGUUAGCUUGAGAAAUGUAGGCUUCUCGAGUUAUUAGGUGGGGAAAAGAAGAAAGGAUGAGAAGAGAAUAUUUUUUGGAUUUUUAAAACGGAUUAAAACCUAAGUUUUUUAUUAAUGGGCCUUGACAUGAUUUUGCAAUCCCUGCUCCUGGCGGGGACGUAUGUCAAUAAGGAUGAACUCAGAGGCCGUGUAUGUGAGUUGCUCGGUAGUGAAACAUAUUUGUUUGUUGGGGAUUGUUAGCAAAGCCCUCGCACCUACUUGGCCUUAUACCUGACGAAAGACAUGUCUUUGACGCCAAACAAGAUGGAGGAGCGGACCUGGCCCGUAUCGACCAUCAAUGCGCACCACUGAGUGGAUUUAUUAGAGGCGAAAUGUGCAACACCAUUCGGGAACGUAAUGUUACUCAGACUUAUCCACUUCAUCAAUUAAUUGUGUACAGCGGCACAAGCCAUUGCUAUCCAAUUUCUGUAAUGUAAGACAAUUCAUCUAAUCCACCGUUUAGCAAAGCAGUUUUAGAUUAAAUCAGCACAGGCGGCAGAAGAUGACGUAUUUGUGAUUGGAUGAAUGUGAUUUGUGUAUGCAGAGUAUGCCCUAUGAAAGUAGCGAGUACAUUAUGACUGCAAAUACUUACAUACGUUUUGUCUAAGCAAUAACUACGGGACUUGCAAAGGCAACUGUCAAUACGAAUUGAUGAUCCGCUUGAACAACCGUCUGGAUAUUGUCUACCACGCAGGUAAAGUUUCUGUGUUUCCUUACCAAAUUGUUGCUUGGUAAAGAGAAUGGUUUGAAUAUUUAACAAGAUGUUUGGCAGGUAAGACCAAACACUUAACUGGCUUAUGACGGAAAAGCUCAUUACAACUGGGGCACAUUAAUAAGCAAAGUCGGCCAAACAACUGCCUCAGGGAACAUAAGACGGCACUCGGGUUGGUAAUUAGUUCCAUGCACGCAGGGUAAUUUACAGUCUGUUCCUAGCUAGCUUAGUAAGAAAAAGAUAUUGAAUAUUUUCAUAGACCGGCGGGCCCUUGCGUUUUGAAGAAUCAAGAACGAUACAUGUAGGGCUUAACACUCGUUACUAUUACUUUGAGGAGAACCUACAAUAAGUAGUCUGGAUUUACGGCUGGCAAUGACUGCAUCAUGGCUAGUGGUCAUGCGGUCCGCUUGUUUCGAUCGAAAUUUUAUUUAGAGAUACGAAAUUAUAAAGUCUUAGACUAUAUAAACAGUGUUAGGUUUGAGAGGAUAAGUUAUUAGAAGGGACAAGACUAAAAAAUAUGGAUUACCUAACCAUUGAGCGCUUCACAUAGCUUGGGCCUAAUAUUAGGAUUACGAACUGGAGAAUAUUCAUCCAGUGUAAUUUUUUCUUUAGAUUUAGUUAUGAAAACGAUUUGAAGUGAUUUGAUGAUUAAUAGAAAAUAGUUUGAAAUUGUAUUGAAGGUGAUUAGAAAAUGAAAUUGAAUGUUGAAACAUGGAAAGUAAGUGAAAUUUGAAUCAAAAGUUAGUGAAUUUUGAAUGUGAUUAUUACAUCUUGACAAUAUGGAAAGAGACGCUACCUAUUAACUGACUAAGCACAUGAAAUGAUUAAACAAAUAAUUUGCUUAAUUAAUUAACUUAACAAAUAAACUCUAACUAAUCAAAAACAAAAUAUUAAAUCAAUAAAUUAACUAAUAUUUUAAAUAAAUAACUCUACAGAUACAUGAAAAUCACCAAAAAUAUAACAUAAAAUAAAAACUAUAAAAAAGAAAAUGAAAAAGAAUGGCAAACAUGAAUAUAUAUAAAAAAUAAUAUAAAUUCCAAAGGGUCAAAUCCAAAACAGUAAACCUAAUUAAAUUAUAUAUAUAAUAUAUAUAUAUAUAUAUAUAUAUAUAUAUAUAUAUAUAUAUAUAUAUAUAUAUAUAUAUAUAAUAUAGUAUAUAUAUAUAUAUAUAGUAUAUAUUAAUAAUAUAUAUAUUUAUAUAUAUAUUAAUAUACUAUCCAGNNNNNNNNNNNNNNNNNNNNNNNNNUAAACUACAAUAAAUGUAACAAAAUAAAUAACAAAUAAAAUUAAAAACUAUAAAAAUAAAAAUAAAACAUAAGAAUGGCAUAAACAUGAAUAUAUAUAAAAAUAAAUAUAAAUUCCAAAUGGGUCAAAUCCAAAACAGUAAACCUAAUUAAUUAAUUAAUUAUAAUAUAUAUAUAUAAUAUUAUAUAUAUAUAUAUAUUAUAUAUAUAUUAUAUAUAUAUAUAUUAUAUAUAUAUAUAUAUAUAUUAUAUAAUCUCUCUCUUUUCCCCAAUUUUUUUUUUUUUUCUCUUUUUUUUGGUUUUAGUUAAUUAUUUGAUUAAAUUUUUGUUUGAUUAGUUAGAGUUUAUUUGGUUAAGUUAAUUAAUUGUUAAGCAAAUUAUUUGUUUAAUCGAUUUCAAUGUGCUUAGUCAGUUAAUUAGGUAGUCUCUUUGUCCAUAUUGUCACAGAUGUAAAUAAUCACAUUCAAAUUCACUAACUUUUUGAUUCAAAUUUCACUUACUUUCCAUAGUUUCAACAUUCAAUUUCAUUUUCUAAUCACCUUCAAAUACAAUUUCAAACUAUUUUUCUAUUAAUCAUCAAAUCACUUCAAAUCGUUUUCAUAACUAAAUCUAAAGAAAAAAAAUUACACUUGAUGGAAUAUCCAGUCGUAAUCCCGAAUAUUAGGCCCAAGCUGUAAGAGCUUGUAAGCCAUAUAUAUUCGUCUUCUCUUCAAAACACUUAUAAUUAUUCAAACUUCUUUUCUCAGUAAAAUCCGAAGAAAAAGAAUACCCUGGAUGAAAUAUCCAGUCGUAAUCACGAAUAUUAGGCCCAAGUUGUAAGAGCUUGUAAGCCUUAUGUAUUCGUCUUCUCUUCAAAACACUCUAAUAUUCAAAUCAUUUUCAUAAGUAAGUUGGAAGAAAAAGAUUACCUGGAUGAAAUAUUCAGUCGUAGUCCCGAAUGCUAGGCCCAAGUUGUAAGAGCUUGUAAGCCAUAAGUGUUCGUCUUCUGUUCGUCUUCCCUCCAAAACACUUGUAAAUAUUCAAACCAUUUUCUUAAUAAAAUUGGAAGAAAAAGAUUACCUGGGUGAAAUAUCCAGACGUAGUCCCGAGUAUUAGACCCAAGUUGUAAGAGCUUCUGAGUCAUAAGUACUCGUCUUUCAAGCCCAAAAAUACAUCCAACCAAUCAAACUCUUUUUCACCGCCGUGCGAUUAAUACAAAAAACCCUUUUCAUAAACGAAAGAGAUCUUGUCUUGAGAUGAUGCAAAGCAAUGCUUCGGCCAUAAUUGUUGAGUUGAGAUAAGUGACGUUUUUUCGAAUGUUGAUUUGUAAAUCCAUUUGAUGUGUGGUAUACGUCUUCUCCUUAUCUGUUUUGGGUAAAACAAUGUUUUUCGUCGAUUAAUACAAUAUAGCUUUCGCUAAAAUCGACCAACAAACAAACAUUUUUCUACCCAGAACUACAUAAGCCUUGAUUUCUCUAUUGAGAUACGUAGGAGCAGGAUUUGUAAAUCUUGUCAGGCCCAUUAAUAAAAAACUUAGGUUUAGUCCCCUUUAUUGCAAAAAUCCAAAAACAUCUUCUCUUUUCUUUUGAUCCUAUCUUUCUUUCCCACCUAAUAUCUUGAGAAGCCCAACAUUUUAAGCUAACACUAACGCACGCAACUAACCUAAUGGUUCCCGUUGAGUACAACGAACGUGAGGGGUGCUAAUACCUUCCCCUUGCGUAAUCGACUCCCGAACCCUGAUUUGGUUGCGACGACCAUAAUCAUUGUCGUUCUUUCUUGGGUUUUAUCAAUAUUUCCCCUUUCCUUUUUAGGAAUAAAUAAAGUUCGGCGGCGACUUUGUUUAGUCCAUCAUGCGAGCGUGCGAUUGCGCUUCGCUAGGUUGUAUUCUCAUUUUUCCAGGUGCGACAUGAUGCUUUACUUUUUAAUUGAUUAAGUCAUUCUUUGGAGAACACCUAACCCUCUAUUCACAAGCAUGGAUCCUUGAACCAAUACAUCUUCCAAAGGAAGGAAAAAAGGUCAAGUUUCCACACAAUACCAUGAAAGGGGGGAGACUUACAAUCUCACUUACUAGAAUGUUAUGCCUUUAGGGUCAAAAUUUAGCUCUAUGUUAAGCAAUCGUAAUUGGACUUAUGUAGAAGUCACAACUAUCUGAGGUCGGGCAAUAGAAAUUUUGGUGUUAAUGCAUGUUAGAGAUAUGGUAUAAUGAACCAUACUCCUAAAACAUACCACACCCAAAAAGAAAAAGAUCAAAGGAUGGACCUAUCUAAUCCAUACUUGUAUUAGUUCAUCUAACAUAAAGUUAUUGAUGAACCAAUUAGCCUUAGGAUAUUGAGACUUCAUUGUUUAAUGGAAAGGAUGGGAGAGAAUGGGAUUAAAGAUGAAGAGGGAAGGGAGAUGAGAGAAACACAAAUUGGUCAUGGGAGGAAUUUUAUCAAAUUAAAAUCAUUCAUUCAUUUUGGGAGAUGAAAUAUACAUUUCAUCAAUCCCCUAAAUCUAAUGGUUUUAACUCAACAAAAGUCAAAUCAACCUUGACCAAGGCCCAAACAGAUAGUUAAACUUCAUAAGUCAAUAAAAAUGGUUCUACAUAAUUAAUCAGUUAAAAAUGCAUUUAAAUUAAAUUUAGUUUGGUCAAAACCUAAAACGUCUUCAAAACACCAAAUAAAUGGCCAAGAGAUUUAUCCUAGGUCAAACAAGAUCAAAGGAUCUUAGACAAAAAAAAUCAUAAUUUUUGAAAAGUCGGAAGUAUUUUUAAAUAAUUAAAAAUAUGCACAAAAACAAUUAAUUCAUGAAAAUAUCAAAAUUAGUCUAAAAAAUAAUUUUAAUUCAGAAAAUGAAGGUGGAAAAUAUUUAUAGAUUUUUGGUGAAAGUCCCAUAUUUUUUGGAUUAAAAAUGAAAUUGAUAUGAAUUAAUUAAAAUAAAUGGAUUAAACAUAAAAAAAAAACAAGGGUCAUUAGAUCUCCCUCAUUAAUUGAGGUGGCAGAUCUGAUGGCCAAGCGCGCGCUAUCCACGAUGGUCCUUAGUCAAUGCACUGCAUGCUUGGUAAUCACUUUGGACGCGUGAGAUUAGAACAUGAGAACCAUAUUAGAUGGUCUGGAUUGAUCUAGCGCACCACCGGAGCCCUAGCUCCGAUCAUCUUCUCCGGUGAUCACCACAGGUCUAGUUCAGGCUCAACUCCAUGUAAAUGAAAUGUGAAUACACUAAUUUGAAGGAAAAAUGCUCCGGAGCACGAAUCUGGCCUCAGUUUUCUCCAAUUUCAAGUAUAUAAAAAGAUACAGGGAUUUGAAUUUUGAGGAUCAUGAAGCGAGUUGCUUCGAUUUUACCUCAAAGUAACUCAAUCUCUUUGCCUACAUUGAUAGGACUUCAGACAACCAAAAAUCAUAAAUAAUGGUGAAGACUUGAGGGAGAAUCGAAGAGAUGAAUUUUUUGAAAAUCCACCUUCAAUGGAGCUUCGAACUUGCUCGAUCUUGAUUCCAAUUGUGCAUGGCCUUGCUUCAGAAGCUUGCUGGAAGUGAUUAGAAUAAAGAAAAGGCAUGGACUCUUGUAGUUUCAAUCUCAAAACAUAUAGAGAUUUGAAACUCGAUUUUCAAAGAAAACCUUCAAGAUUAUCCUUCAAUGGUAAGGGUUUGGAUUGCAGGUUCAAAGCUUGGGCAUGAGGUCCAUAACUUUGAGCAAUGAGGGUUGUAUUUAUAGCCAAGGAUAUUCAUUUCCACAAACUUCCAGAAAUGGAAAAAUUUGAGUAGUUCUCUUUGCAUGCUUGCAUGGGCGUGUGAUAGGCCCAUCAAGUGAUGUAUUCAGGUCCAAAAAUGAGUGAGAAUCAUACUAAAAUCAUAUUGUGAGGCCAUGCAAUCGUGUAUGAAAUGUGGAAGUGAAAAUCAUCCAAAUGGUUCCUCAUAUUGCACCCAUGCACAAGUCCUUCAUCCUUUGGUCAAAUGAGAUGAUCUUGGUUUUUUGGAAAGGUGGGAUCAAGGGGAACAACUUUCAUGUUGAACACUUUUUCAUUUGAAGCUUGUAUCAUGAUGAAUUUUGAGGUGGAAGUUUAGGAAAUCAAACAUAUUUGAAAAUUUUCUAAGUCCCAAGUCAAAUGUCCACUUCUUCCACCUUGAAUAACUUUUUCUAUAGACUUCAAAUGAGAAAAGUUCCUUCAUUAAAGUUGUAUCUAUUUCCAACCUCUUAAAUUUGGUCACAAAUUUGACCUCAUUUGGAUUUGGCAUUAAGUAUUUAUGCAUUUUAGAAAUUGAGGAAAAUCACUUGUUCAAUGGUAUUGACCCAAAAUGACCUAUAAUGUUCCCUCUUGGAACAUACAUUUGCAAGUUGAAUUUGAACUUCCUCAAAACAUCAAAUUUGAAUUAGACAUAUUGAGUUUGAUCAUGGAAUUUUAAUGGCUUUCAUCUCAUAAAAACUGAGCAAGUUAUGGUCUUAGGAAGCUGACCUCCAAACUAGGGUUCACACAAAAUGACCUAUAAUCUUUCACCAUAAAAAAUGACUUUCUAAGAAAACUUAGCUCUUAACUUUAACAUGAAAGUUGUUUGGAAUGUCAUUUUGAGUAAAUUUUCUCUUGAAAUCAUUUUCAUAUGACAAAACUUGUAGGAGAUAGGGUCUAAGGAACCCCGGUUUUGACCAGUUGACUUUCUCUAGUCAACCACCAUGAACCAUCUUGCUAGCUUGACAUUCUCUUGACUUUUGGGGGUCAUGGAGGAUCAUAUAGGCAUAAGAUGAUGUAAUAUUAAGUAUCCCUUGAAAUAUUUGAUCAAUUGUUGAAGAAACUUGUUGAAGAAGUCACACAAGGUACCCAGAUGAAUUAGGGUUUCCAAGGUAAACAAUCUCCAAACUCUUGAUGUAUUCUUGAUCAAAAUGAUAUGUGAAGAUCAUGGGGAUCCAUAUAUUAUGCUUAGAGCCAAAUUUAACUAUUUCUUAAUUUAACUCCUUGCAUUGAGGGUCUCAAACCCUAGAUGUGAUCUUGAUGGAGCAUAGGUGAACACACACACUACCUACAAAAGCAAUAAACUAUACAUUGACAUACUUUUUGGUAUUUUGGUUAGUAAAUAAUGAAAAACAAAUUAUGAUACAAUCAAAAGUGCUUGGUGAUCUCUCCCAAUGCAAACCCAAUGGAUGAGAGGGGUAAGUAGGAUGCCAAGGUGUGAUCCUAAAGCCAAUGCAUAUGAUGAGAUGGCAUGAGGGAUCUUAGGAUCAAAAUUGGGGUCUUACAUUGACUAGGGACUAACUCCUUAUAUCUUCAGUGUUUGGGGAUUUGAAACAAUUCCUUACAUCAUUGGUAAAGUUUUCUUUAAAAGCAUACCACAACAAUUUCAGGUAUUUUAUUUUCAUCAUCCUCAUUCCAAUCUUUUCUAAACAAUAGUUUUAUGAAGACAAGUGAAGAGGGAGAAAUAUUUUUGUUUUCUAACAUAAAUGAAAAAUGAGUGAAUACGAAUAGAUUAAUUUAAAAUAUGCAUAAAUAUUUCAUUAAUCUUACCUAUUCCAAGAACUCAACAAUGCUUAAAAGUAAAUAAACAAUCAAUGUGCAAAUAAAUUACAAAUGGAAAUGUUGAAACAACCAAAUGAUUGCCAACUUUAGGGAAUUGACUUAUUUGUCUGAUCCACAGACUUUAGGGAAUUGACUUCUUGUUUAAUCCACGAACUUUAGGGAAUUGAAUUCUUCAAGCUUGAUCCAUGCCUUACUUUCCAUGUCAUGAGAGAGGGUUGUUUAUGACAUUUAGUCCCAAAUAUUUGAAGCUCAAGAUCUCAUUGUCGACCAACUCACGCGCUCUAUGCUUCAAAGCAUAACAGACCUCUAAGUCAUGUACAAAAGCACCCUCAUAGAAAGGACAAUGAGCACUUGGAUUGUACCAUAAAGGUAAAGAGUCAGGUGGAGUACCCAAGGUUCUUGGAACCACUAGUCCCUUUUGCAGCAAGGAAGGAUAUAGGUCAGUGUACGUCAUGGGGAUUGGAAUGAAUGGGGGUUUACCCUUUUGUCCCAUAUUCUGGUUUGGAGUAUUUUGUAGGCGUGGAGCCUGGACCCUUGGUUGAUGAUAAGUUGUUGCUACAGGUUCUAGUUGGCAUGGAUGUGCUACUUUAUUUGGUUGAUACCCUGGUGCAAAAGGUUGCUGAUAUGCAGCAGAAUCCACUUGCUGGUAAAUGGGUGCCACAACAACUAUACAUGGUUGUUGAUCAAACUGCAUAGGAUAGGUGGUUUAUUAAUAAGUGAGUUGUUGAUGUUGCUUCUUCCAUGAAUGGCUUCUUCUUUGAUUAAAAGACACAACAUUUGUCUCACCUUCCUUUUUCUUCUAAAAACCUCCCGAAAAUUUCCUAGCAUUGUUAUCGGAGGUUUUGGCAGCAAUUAUCAUCUUGCCAUUUUUCAAUCCAACCUCAACCUUUAUACCCACGACAACUAAGUCAGAGAAACUUGAUGAUACGCUACUCACCAUUAUUUCAUAAAACAUAGGCUUCAUAAUGUCCAUGAACCAAUCUUCCAAUUCCUUCUCUGCCAGAGGCAGUUCGACUUGUGAAGCCUCCUCUCUCCACUGUUGUGCGUAUUCCUUGAAAGAUUCGUUAUCUCUCUGGGACAUGCUAAGCAACUGCCUCCUACCCGGGGCCAUAUCCAUGUUAUAUUUGUAGUGCUUAAUGAAGGCAUCAUAUAAGUCUUGGAAACAACGACCGAAUACCAAACAUAUUUCUCUAAUAUUAGCGAAAUAUAAGUCUUGGAAACAACGAUAGUACAUAAUGAGAUGAAUUUUGAGGCAUGAGUGACCCUCGUACUUAUUAAAGUCAGGGGUCUUGGAUUUCGCGGGGAUCACAAGACCGAAUACCAAACAUAUUUCUCUAAUAUUAGCGCCAAAGACUUUGUCGCCUUCCAUAGCCCUCAAUAUGUUCUCAAGGAUCGGGUAAUUUUCCUUUGUGCCCUUUAUAUAUGCAUGUCUUUCGUCCACUUCAUCAGAAGAUUCAGAAGCAUGGUAUAUCUGAUGUUGAUCUUCAAUGUGUGGUUGCACAUGUGUAUGAACGAUUGAUGGAGCGAUGGUGUUGACCACAUGAUGCGCCUCAGUGGAGAAGGGUAAAGGCAUUGCCUGUAGCAUGGACUGCAUAAACCCUGGGAAUCCUUCAAACAAGGGCAUGGAACCAAGAGGUAGACCAUAAGUUGGACAUGUGGUUGGCAUAUUUCUUACAUGUUGGGGUUCAGUGUAGGACCGGAGACCUUUGAGACAACCCUUGCUUGAGGAGUGUCCAACUUGGAUGACAGAGAUUGAGUCAUAUCCAUGAUCUAACCCAUAUUUCCUCUUAGGUCACCGAGUUCUAAACUCAUCUUUUCUAGUUCUUGUUCUUAAUCAGUCACCCUUUGACGAGCGUUGGCUCGAGAGUUGUAGUGGUGUUGAGGACUCAUGGUGGAACUUGAGGAAGAAAGAUGAAGUGAGCUUUUAUUUUUAAAAAUGCAUGAAGAUGGAUAUUGAUACAUGAAAAUAAAUUUUUGGUUAUUUAGGAAAAUGAUAUGCAUGCAUGCUGAUGAAAUGCGAUUUUCUUUGAAUUUUGGUAGGUAAAGAAAAUGCCAUGCAAAUAUAUAGUUAGGAUCCGGGAUCACAUGAGUAAAUCAGAAUAUCCUACUAGGUAAGUUUCCCUAUAUCAGAUAGUUAUAUGCUUUCUACCCAUUAACCGCUCAUGGGAUAGUUUCUAGGUUGAUGGAUAAGGUUCUCAGAGUCACGGACUAUAAUCAUAUCAACAACAUGCAACAGGAUAUUCGUUUUAGGACAAGAGUGAUGAAAAAUUCUAUUCUGAGUGGGGUUUUCAUGUUAGGCGCACAAGGAGUGGCCCUUGGAGACUAAUAUUAUGUAACCUCCAAAGCAGAAACAUGUUAGGCGCAGCGGAAUUUAAAAAUUUCUCCAUUUAGUGAUCCUUACGAAUGGGCAUGAUCAGUGAUAGAAUCGUUACCUCUUGUGGCGAUUCAAAUCUUUGGUGCAGAUCUCUGACAAUGAUCAAAACCUUUGAUACAGAUCCACAGGGCGAUCACGAACGUUGAACGAUGACAACGUCUCUACUCAGUCCACACGAACGGAUUCCUUCAAUCGCAGUGCUAGCUAUUAUGAAUGAAGGCUUUGAGUGAGAGAAAGAGGGAAACUAAAUUCCAAGUCUCUACUUGAAUUUCUGUCUGAGUGGAGUCAAGUCACAAUGCUUCUACCCAAGGGGUUCUAUUUAUAGAACCACUUGUGUGGGCUUCAAGCUAAAAAGCCCACUUAAGUGUAUUUUGGCCCAUAUCUUAUAAUAUGCCCAAAAUCACUUAAGUAUUUGCGUACCUUACCAUAUUUCUUCUCCCACUUAAGUGCACCGUACCUUACGGUGUUCCUUAGUUACUCUAUCUCUCAUCAAUCCGUCCUUUGUGUGUGACCCUAUAGGGUUCGCGCGUUGGCAUUAUAUCAAAUCACGCAUUUAACAUAAUAAACAGUGAGCGGUAUCUAGCAACACAUCCUGCUACCAAGUCACGAAAAUAUCAUGUGAUCUGACAAAACCUCCUAUUAAUAAUUAUGUGUAUAAUACCCUUUGCCUUAUGUCUAUAUUGAACACAAGGUAUAGACCUUGUCACCCUUGUCCAGUUCAAUAUUGGGCCCAUAGACAUUUAUCGUGUUACGCAGGAUGGGCAAAUUCCAUCUAGGACACUCAUGUCCCUCAGCAUGCGUUGUGGAGUACCUCAACUGUCUUUAUGGUUAUCCAGUUACGGACAACGUUGGAUCAGCAAUAAAGCACUCGACUCUACAUCUAGGAUCCAUAGUGGUUUCAGGUCGAAGAGUGGUAUACACUAUUAUCACCAUGAGAAUAACUUAUGACACUUUGCAUAACUUUCUAUAUAGUAUUCUCAUAGCGGUCAAUCCGGUAUAAAUAUUACUCCUAAUUAUUCAUACCUAUGUUUAAGACUUGAUAACUCUUUAUCCAUGAUCCAUGAGAUGUGAUCAUCAGUCUACAAAGAUAAUAGUCUUAAUGCUUUAAUGUUAUCCCACUUCACACUAAAGCUCGGCUACGGAUACUUUAAGAAUAAUGUCCUUAUGUUUAAUGUGUUAUCAUGAUUAAGUCACACUUAAUACAUUAAAUGGACUAUCUAUUCCAGGGACUUUAUUAAUCAACCAUAAUAAAGAAAAUGCCUUUAAAUAAUUCGAUACAAGUACCAAAAGUAUUGGCUUCUAGGGCUUACACCAACAAUGGACCCUUCAUGAAUCAACAUUAUGUGAUAGGCUAGCCAUCUUAUAACGAGAUCUACGAAUAGGUCUACUCUAUAGGGAGUCUUCAUGUUAGGCAUGCAAGGAGUGACCCUUGUGGACUAACACUACACAUCUUCUAAUUUUAAACUAUAUGUUCUCUCUUCUUUUUCCAAAACUUGGGUGUAGAGUUUUACUCAUGAUAAAGACAAAGAAAAAAAGGAAAGUAAAUAAGAAAACAAAGAAUAAGAAAACAAUUAAAUAAAGGAAAUAUUUAUUGCAUGGUUAACUAAGUUAGGCUUGACUCUCUCUUGCAUGGAGCAUAUUUCUCAGCAAAGUCUCUAUCUAUCGUACCUUGAAAAAUAUGAUCCUUUGCGAAGUGCAUCGCACGCUCACGGAAAAAUGUUUGAACAGAGUCACCACCAAACUUUAUUUAAUCCAAUGAAGGAAAAUGGAAAUAUCGAUAAAACCUUUGAAAAGAACAUGGUCGUCGCAACCAUAUUUGUGUUCGGGAGUCGGUUACACAAGGGGAAGGUAUUAACAUCUCUCACGUCCGUUGCACUCAACGGGAACCUUUUAGUUAGAUUUACGAUUUGAAUGUUAGCUUAUAUCAUCUAUUUUCUUUGAAUUAUUAAAAGAUAAAAGAGAAAAAGAAAGGGGUUGCAAAAACGUUUUUUAUUAAUGUGCCUGACAAGAUUGUGGGUCUUGCUCCUACGUAUCUCCGGCUACGAUGGAGAACUCAUGGCAUACGUAGUUAUGGUUAGAAAAAUGUUUGUUUGUUGGUCUAUUUUAGCAAAAUCUAUUUUGUGUCAAUCGACAGAAGAACAUUGCUUGCUACCUAAAACAGGCGAGGGGCGGGCGUUUGCAUCACGUUGAAUUGAUUUCUACAUAUCAACAUUCACGGGAAAAAGUGACGUAUCUUAACUCACAUAUGUGGAUCAAGCGUUGUUUUGUAUCGUCUCGAGAUGAAAUAUCUUUCAUUUUGAAAAAGGUUUUUGAGGAUCGCAUGGUGGCGAGAAAAAGAGUUUGAUUGUUUGAAUUUGUUUUAGGUGAAUGACAACCGCUCGACGAGAACGAGACAUAAGCCUCAGUGAAGCUAGGGGAAAUAUACCCGAACACAUCGCACGCUCGAACAUACAACAGAGUUGCUAUCGAACUUUAUUUAUUCCCGAAGGAAAGGGAAAACAUCGAUAAAACCCAAGGGAAAUAGAAAAUGGAUAAGGAAGUUAGUUAUGCAAGUGGAGGGUAUAAGCACCCCUCACAUCCGUUGUACUCAACGAGAACCGUUUCGAUUGUUCUUUGCUCAGAUGGGUGUUACAUCUAAAGAUUACUUGCAAAAGGAUAAGGAAAAAGAAAAUAAUAAAUAAAGUGCUCAAUGAGGAUUAGGUCCCUCAUGCCUCUGUAUCCUUAUAAUGCAAUAAGGAAUUCAAAGCUCCGUAGUUUAUAAAACUAAUGGUGGGAGAUGAAAGAAGAGUGAUAAAGGUAUGGUUUGAACCAAAGGAUAGUGUGUCCUGAACCCAUAGGGUAUGUAUAUUUGAACCCAAAAGGAAAGCUAGCAUAUGGCCAAAAAAGAAAGGUAUUUGCCUAUAUAAGGACUUACAUGAACAUGAAAGGAAGUGUAUGUCUAUACAAGACAUGCAACUCUUGGAUCAAAUAUGGGCAUUGGUUAUUGGCCCAAAAAUAUGUAUGGAGCUCAAAGAAAUAAUGUAUUUGGCUCAAAGAGAGAGUAUACCACAUGGGAUGAAUGAAGGUAAAAGAUAUUAAAUAAAGUUAGUGGAUAGUGAAUAAUGGAAUAUGAAUGGUAGGAUAGAGAGAAAUAAUCAGGGUAGGAGGAAUUGAAAGAUUAGGUAAAAAUGACAUAAGGUAUAAUUUGGAACCAAAGGAUAAAGGUGUAGUUGGAAUUUGUAAAGGGGAUGAAAUUGUUGGUGUAAGCCCUAGAGGCCAAUACUUUUGGUACUUGUAUCGAAUAAUAAAAAGGCAUUUUCUUUAUUAUGGUUGAUUAAUAAAGUCCCUAGAAUAGAUAGUCCGUUUAAUGUAUUAAGUGUAUUUAAGUGUGACUUUAAUCGUGAGAACACAUUACACAUAAGAGGCACUAUUCUUAAAGUAUCCAUAGUCGAGCUUUAGUGUGAGUGGGAUACAUUAAGCAUUAAGACUAUUAUCUUGUAGCUGAUGAUCACAUCUCAUGGAUCAUGGAUAAAGAGUUAUCAAGUCUUAAACUAGGUAUGCAAUAUUAGAGUAAUAUUUAUACCGGAUUGACCCGCUAUGAGAUACUAUUAUAGAUGUUAUGCAAAGUGUCAUAAGUUAUUCUCAUGGUGAUAAUGGUGUAUACCACUCUUCGACCUGAACUGAAACCACUAUGGUCCUAGAUGUAGAGUCGGUUGCUUUAUGCUGAUCCACGUUGUCGUAACUGGAUAACCAUAAAGACAGUUGAUGGGUCCUACGAGCAUGCUGAGGACAUGAUGACCUAGAUGGAAUUUGCCCAUCCUGCAUAACAGGAAAUGUCUAUGGGCCCAUAUUGAACUGGACAAGGAUGACACGGUCUAUGCCUGUGUUCAAUAUAGAGAAUAAGGGCAAAAGGUAAUUAUAUACAUUAAUUUUUCAGAUGGUUUUGUCAGAUCACAUGAAUUUUCGUGUCUCGGGUAGCAGUGAUGGUUGCUAGAUACCGCUCACUGUUUAUUAUGGUAAAUGCGUGAUUUAAUAUAAUGCCAACGUCACGAAAACCUACAGGGUCACACACAAAGGACGGAUUGAUGAGAGAUAGAGUAACUAAGGAAUACCGUAAGGUACGGUGCCCUUAAGUGAAUUAUAGAACAUCGUAAGGUACGGUGUACUUGAGUAGAAUACGAAAUAUGGUAAGUACCAUGGGCUUAAGUGAUUUUGGGCAUAUUAUAAGAUAUGGGCCAAAAUACACUUAAGUGGGCCUUUUAGCUUGAAGCCCACACAAGUGGUUCUAUAAAUAGAACCCUUGUGCAGAGCAUUAAUAGCGUUGCAUUAUUUUCGUUUUUCUCACUCUCUCUUCAUCAAAGCCUUCAUUCGUACCAGCUAGCACUGAGAUUGAAGGAACCCGUUCGUGUGGACUGAGUAGAGACGUUGUCAUCGUUCAACAUUGUGAUCGCUUGUGAUCUGCAUCACAAAGUUUUGAUCGUCACAAGAGAUCUGCACCAAAGGUUUCAAUCGUCGGAAGAGGUAAAUAUUCUAUCACUGAUCAUGACCAUUCGUAAGGAUAUCUAAGGGAAAAUUUUAAUUUUCGUGCGUUUUGGACCGCAAUUCUCCUUCAGUGGUAUCAGAGCCACUACGAAACCAUGACUCGGAUAGCUAUUUAUUUUCUGUAUUAAUAUGAUUAAAAGACAGAAUGAAUCAAUUAAUUAAAGGGUAUUAAAUUUGGCAUCAUGAGUGUACGAGUUGGAUGAUUGAUGUUGACUUAUGCUUCGGUACACAUUAGUAUGGUGAAGCAGCGAUACAUCGAUCGUCCAUAGGUUACGCAAUUGAGACCGAUCAGCUUAUAUAUGAUAUAAGUAUCCUAAUGCAAAGUACGGUAUAUAGUGAUUUACCGUUUCUGUUUCGUUCUAUUCAACACUAAGUGGUUGUUUUCUUUGACGAUCAAUGGUCAUUUGCUUCGAAAUCCGACAUUAGUAUGGUGAGCAAUGACCUGUUGAUCAAUCAUACUGAAUCAAUAAUCGAGGUGUGUUUGACGGUCUGAAAUUGGGCAUUAGGUUGGUGACGGCGCAAGGGUUGUGCCGUCAAGGAGUUGUGAAUUUAGGUUUUGAACAGGUCUGUGACUGUUUCAAAGUUCUGUUAUUUUGGAUGCGUAACGGUCGUAACAAGACGCGUGACGUUCGUACAGACCAUGACGGUCGUAACAAGGACGUGACGGUCGUCACAUGCUCACAGAUCCAAAUUGUAGGCCGUUUUGUUUUGGCCCCGUGACGGUCUAAAUGAUGCCUGUGACGGUCGUAACAUGCUUGUGAACCUGUGACGUCUGUAAUCCGGUACGUCCACUCACAGGGUCAGAAUUCUUGGGGUUUCUGUUUUGUGACUACGCAGGUUGUGUCAUGCAAAACAAUGUCAUUUCAAAUGAAUUGUUCAUUAAAUUUGGACAGGGUGCUGCCCUCCAACCCCGGCUAACUCUGCGUAGUGUGAUCGGUCGCCCGAAAUUUAUUGGUUUAAUUAAUUAAAGGAAUUAAAUUAAUAAUAAUAAUGUGUUUUUAUUAUUGCCUUGUGGUGAUCAGUUAUGGCCUUAGUCUUCCUUCAUUUUGUUGGGUUUUUAAAUACGACCUGCGUGUCGUGCCUCUCCUUUGAUCUCUUAAUGUACUUCUUUUCUCAUCUCAAACCCUCGUAUCUAAACGAGUUUCUUCUGUAAUGUAAUGAGAAGAAAGAAGACAAUGUUAUGAGAAAGAGAGGAAUAAUUCAUUCAAAGGAGGACAACCUUGAGAUCUUGCUUGGAGAGCUUAGAGAAGAAUUCAAUAUCAAGGAGGAUAACCUUGAAGAUCUUGCUUGGAGAAGCUUAGAUUGUUAUUAGGUUAGCUUAGGUUCUCUCAUUGGCUUGUGAGAACAAUUGCGUAGCGGGCCAUAACUGUUUCAUUGUGUAUGUAUUUGAUGAUGUUAUGUAUUUGAUGCAUGAGAAUAUGUGUUGAUGCAUGUGAGAGACGUUUGUAUGAUAAUAAAGAGGUGAGAUCAUAAAUGCAAUUUCCUCAAUUAAAUAUUAAGUUUAUGCUUCAGUUUUAACACUCAUCAAGACUAGUAAUGGAUAAUGUAGGUUCGCCUACGCGAGGUGCAUGAUCUUAUAAUUAGUAAGGUGCGAUGGAUAAUUGUAAUAUCCACUGUUAACAAUGGGUCAAACUUAAUAAACAAAUUUGAGAAUAUAUAUGUUUGCUUUCCAAGUUUAGCACUCAUCAGACUGGUAUCGAUAAUAGUAGGUUUCGCCUACGCGAGGUGCUGUUUGUAUUAGUCAAGGUGCGAUGGAAUUGUAAUAUCCAACUGCUAAACGAUGAGUCAACUUAAUUAUAUUCUAUAUAUUGUUUAGAGCAAGAGUUGGGAAUAAUCCAUUAUGGGAUUGGAAAGGAGUUAUUCACCAACUGAAAUUUUCAGAGGUUGUAUGAGAUACAACUGGAAGGAGUUCCUACCUAAAUAACCAGUUUGUGUAAUCGCCUACGCGACGGGACUAGAACGAAGGAAUAUGCGGCUCGACCCACAGAAAUCUUCCCAACGGGACUAUUUGCCGAAUCAAAUGUGAGGUCAUUUGUUUUGAGUAAACUAGUGGAAGCAUAUUUUGAUUAAAGGCCUAAUUAAAUAUUCAUAUACUUAUUUUUCUUUAAUCCUUAUAGUAGGAUAACCAUGACAACAAAACAUUAACAAACAUCUUGCGAUCAAUCCUUGACAAGGAACAUUCUCUGGGACAAUUCCUGGUAUGCAACCGACCUGAGGAUUGUCUCAAACAUGAUAAAGCUGGUAUGUCUUGGAGACACCUAGUUCCUGAAGAGGAACUUCCUGAAUUCUGCACCUAAGGCAGAAAGAGCAUGCUUAUAAGAAGCAUGUCGAUGAAAUGCCCAAUGAACUGCUUGUCUCAUUGCUGGCUACAUGAACUCAGAAUUGCAAAACAACAUGAGAACAUGGUACGCGUUCGAUAUGAUCGAACACCUGAAGUCUUUCAAGAGCGAAGCAAGCAUGAGAGGUUUGAGUUUCAAAGCCCCUUUUCAAAGCAAGUUAGCUGAGGAGCCUGUGUAGGUUCCCCAUUACUCAAUAUUUGGGGUAUGUGGAAACCUUGAUAGAUUGUUUUCCCUCGAAAGAACUUGGUGACUUUGAUUUGAUCUUGCAACGUGACCAGAUUGUCAGUCAAUUCGUCCAAUUUUCAUAUGAUUGAUAUGGAUAAAUCUCUUCCUGAACUUGCUCGCCAUGUUAAGACUGCCGGCAGAAUCUGAAGUCAAAGGGAGUCCAUUAUGAUAUCGGAAUGGAAGAGCAGACAAAGGCACCAAGCAGGGUGAUCAAAGGGAAAGCAAGGAGGUGUCAACCAGACCCACUGUUGCUGCUUUAAAGACCUGUGAAGGCUGCAAGAAGAAGGGCACCUCUUUCCAUAUGUUUUUUCAUGUAAGACCGGCACUGGAGAGGAACUGCCCAAAAGUACCUUGGAAGAAAGAAGAAUGGAAGUAGAGACUUCACUCAGGUAUUUUGUUAUUAACUUAAUCUACUUUACUGCAUCAUGGUAUAGGAUAUUGAUGCGCGGUGCUCACAUUGUCACAAAUGUGCAGGGACUGAAAGAGGAAGUAAGAGAUAUUCGGCAAAAAGUGAGUUGACCUCGCUGGCAAUGGAAGCAGGUAUAGACCUACUCUUAGCGCUAAGGAUUUAUGUAUUGACUAAUUACCUAGUAGCCGUUUUAAAAUCAGUUACAGAGAACUGUAUACGGUACCUCAAUUAGCAGGAGAUUAAUAGCAUUUCUUGUUUGCAUUUAUUUCUUCUUAUAUAUACCAAGACAUUGUGACGUCAUUUAUCUGAAUAAGAACUAGGAUUCUAAUGCUACUGCACAAUGAAACGCAAUGAAACUAUAUGUCCAUUGAUCUCGAAUAGCAUACUUAAUCCAUGCUAAAUACUAAACAAGGGUGAAAACCAAACGAGUUCUAAAACACACUAAAGGUAAAGAAUAAUUAAAAAUACUAAUCUGAUACAAGAUCAGAGGUGAACGUGAGUAUUUACGCGCAUAGCGUUGAAACAGACCAUCUGAACGAGCAUAGUGGAGAUACCAACUACUCAACCAACUCAUCCCUCAUAGGAAACACCCCAAUGCGACAAUCGGAAAUGAUAUACUGAGAGAGAACAUCGACCCUUUUAACAUGUACAGCUCCAAAUGAUGCAGUUCACGCCGAAUUUCCAAAAAUCCAUCUUCGGGACAUAGCAACUAAUGUAGACCAAGCAAUUUCACAACGACCUUAACAUGUUCAAUCCAAAAAGGACUUGAAGAGAACACAUAUGAAGAUAAUAGGCAAUGAUAGAACCACCAUCAAUGUAGUUUAAACAAUAAGAUUUGGAAACAGUCUGCCAGAGUUUAUGUGAAACCGACAAAAUUUCAACUAAGGACGUAGAGCCCAAAUUGCAAAUGCCUUAAUAUUGUAGAGGAGUAUCACUAAAGACACAAGAGGAUUUCCUUCUACAAAAUCACUUAACUGAAAGGACAAAAUGUUUGAACUCGCCUCAACAGGAGAAAGUCUUUCCAUAGAACAGGAAUUUUAAUUUCCAAGACACAGUCGGGAAGCUAGAGCUUAAGAAGAAUUACAGAACUCAAAAAAGCAAUCAGAACACCUAAUGACAGAGGAUUGGAGAAGCUAGUUGAUUGUCACGAGCACCAAAAAAACAACACACAUGCCUAAGUAGACAAGCCAGCGUCAUAGUUAAUAGGCAGGUACUCACCUAACUGAGUUAUGAGCAUCAACGGUGAUAGAAUCUCAUGGAUCAGAUGAGGCUGUCCUACUCAUGGAGAUCUUCGUUUGAUGAUAGGUAAACAAUAUGGAUUCUCAAGAACGAAGAGGAGCCGUGUGUCUACAAGAAGGUUAGUGGGAGCAUGAUCGUAUUCCUGGUAUUAUAUGUAGAUGACAUAUUACUCAUUGGAAACGAUAUCCCUACCCUGCAACAAGUAAAGUCUUGGGUGGGGAAAUACUUUUCUAUGAAGGACCUAGGUGAAGCAGCCUAUAUAUAUUAGGAAUCAGAAUCUAUAGAGAUAGAUCAUAAAAUGCUUGGCCUAAGUCAGAGUACAUAGACAAGGUGCUGAAACGCUUUAAUAUGAAUGAUUCCAAUGGUUAUGUGUUUUGCUGAAAUGGUGGCGUUGUGAGCUUGAAAAGUUCAAAGCAAGAUACAGUUGCUGAUUCUACAACCGAGGCCGAGUGUAUUGCUGCCUCAAAUGCAGAAAAGGGAGUUGUUUGGAUCAAAAGUUCAUUAGUGAACUUAGCAUAGUCCCUAGCAUUGUGGAUCCCAUUGGUCUCUAUUAUGAUAACAAUGGUGCUAUCGCACAAGCUAAGAAGCCUAGAUCUCACCGACGAUCCAAACACAUACUUAGGCGUUAUCAUCUCAUUCGAGAGAUAAUAGAUAGAGGAGAUGUGAAAAUAUGUAAUAUACCUACACUUGACAAUAUAGUUGACCCACUGACAAAGCCUCUUGCGCAGCAGAAGCAUGAUGGCCAUACUAGAUCAAUGGGCAUACGGGGUAUGCCUGAUUGGCUCUAGUGCUAGUGGGAGAUUGUUGGUGUAAGCCCUAGAGGCCAAUACNCUGAUCCAUGAAAGUUGUAAUAGUCUAAAUUCAUCUUUCUUUUAUCGCUUUCAUUGCAUGCUAAUUAAAAGAUAAAAUUAAAUGAUAAAUAAAUCUUUUUCAGAAAAAAAAAACACACUUGAUCCUGUCAAGUAUUUCCAAAUAAAUCAAAUCAAUGCAACGCGAGUGCUUGAUCCAAUUUCAAGUAUCUCUCUCCAUUCCAUAUCCUAUCUUUAUCCGAUUCUCAUGCAAUUCUUCUAUUUCUUUAUCUCAUUCUAUCUUGAUCGAUUCCCACUCAUCAAAUUUUAUAGUAAAACUUGGAGAAAAAUGGGUGUAACUUGUGCAAACAUUCAAGUACUUGGUUGUGGUCGUACAUAGCUUGGGGCCUCGAUGCUUGACUUCGUUUUAAACACUUAAUCUAUAAACAUGAGUCCAAAUCGUUACUCUAAGAGUUAAAGAGUGGUUAGAUGAAGUUGUCCUCUCAACUCACAAAUACUCGAUUGUCGUCGUACUGAUAGCCGAUGUUGCGACACCCGACUUCCUCUAUACUAAUGGUUAACUCUAAAAUAAAUUCGUUAAUUACUAAAUCAACUCCAAAUUUCUAUCUACUUGCGGUACUCUUACCUGUUCAUCCUUACCCUUUGUCAAUAUCCUGGAAUAUCACUUUCAUUUCUCAACAAUUGUUGAAUUAUUCUUCUUGGAAGAAAAUCCUUAUCCAUUUGAUUCUAUACAUAUCCUUUUGUGGGCCAAUAACUAAUGCCCACCUUUAAUCAAGAUUUUUGUAUUGUAACAAACAUUUCAUUCCUUCUUUUUUGCCAAUAUGCCUAUUUACUCUUCUAUUUAGAAUUUAUCCUUCAUGAUUCACAUACCAUUUAUAUUUUGGUUUCAGAUAGUCUGCUCCCCCACAGUGAUUAAUAUUUCCUUGACCAACACCAUAUUCCUUUGGGUCAUAUCAUAUCCUUUUUGGGCAAAUAACCAGUGCCCAUUAUGAACCAAAAUAUGUUUGUCUUGAUGACCAAACUUCAUUCCUUUCUUUUUGGCCAAUAGCUUGUUUACUCUUUGGUUCAAAGUUCAUUACCUUUAUGGUUCCAAUGCUACAUUGUAUUUUGGUGCAGUAUAUUUCAUCACUAUAUAAUAAAUUAAUAUUUCUGCUUGUUCCGCAUAAUUUUUCAUUAAUACAAACUCUGACUUUCUCAUUGCACCAAUGAGAAACGUAGCACAGACUUAGAACCCUUGAUAGCCAAUCAUAUUAUUCAUUUCUUCCUUAUUACUCCAUCUAUAUCUUUGUGAUCCAUAAUCUAUUUUCAAUCAUAACCAUCCAUCUCAGUACAUAUGUCUUUCUCGACCAAAUACCAAUAUUCCUUCAAUAUCCAUACUUACCCUUUGCCAAUAAACAAGCUACAUUUGCAUAAAGAGUGUUUAUCUUGUGCCAACAUUUAUUCUUCUUUUUUCGCAAUUGCCUACUUUCCUAGUUGGUGCAAAUUUUGAAGAGAAUUGCGUCCAAAACGCAGCGGAAAUUAAAAUUUUCUCCUUUAGAGAUCCUUACGAAUGUCAUGACAUUAAAUAUUUACCUCUCUCGACGAUUGAAACCCUGUGCAGAUCUCUUGUGACGAUCAAAACUUUUGAUGCAGAUCCACGAGCGAUCACGAACGUUGAACGAUGACAACGUCUCUACUCAGUCCAACGAACGAGUCCUCAAUCUCAGUGCUAGCUGGUACAAUGAAGGCUUUGAGUGAGAGAAGAGAUGAGAAAACGAAAAUAAUGCAACCGCUAUUAAUGCUUCUGCACAAGUUCUUUAUAGAACCACUUGUAUGAGCUUCAAGCUAAAAGACCCACUUAAGUGUAUUUUGCCCAUAUCUUAUAAUAUGCCCAAAAUCACUUAAGCCCAUGGUACUUACCAUAUUGUUCUACUCAAGUACACCGUACCUUACGAUGUCUUAAUUCACUUAAGGGCACCGUACCUUACCGUAUUCUUAGUUACUCCUAUCUCUCAUCAAUCUCCUUUGUGUGUGACCCUGUAGUUUUCGUGACGUUUGGCAUUAUAUUAAAUCACGCAUUUAACAAAUAAACGUGAGCGGUAUCUAGACACACUCACUGACGACCCAAACACGAAAACAUGUGAUCUGACAAAACCAUCCUGUGAAAUAAUCAUGUGUAUAAUUACCUUUGCCCUUAUGUCUAUAUUGAACACAAGGCAUAGACCGUGUCAUCCUUGUCCAGUUCAAUAUUGAGCCCAUAGACAUUUAUCUGUUAUGCAGGAUGGGCAAAUUCCAUCUAGUCACUCAUGUCCCUCAGCAUCUCGUGAGAUACCCAUCAACUGUCUUUAUGUUAUCCAGUUACAGACAACUGGAUCAGCAAUAAAGCACUCGACUCUACAUCUAGAUCCAGUGGUUUCAGGCGAAGAUGAUACACCAUUAUCCCCAUGAGAAUAACUUAUGACACGUUGCAUAACAUUCUAUAUAGUAUUCUCAUAGCGGGUCAAUCCGGUAUAAAUAUUACUCCUAAUAUUCAUACCUAUGUUAAACUUAUAACUCUUUAUCCCAUGAUCCAUGAGAAUGUAUCAUCCGUCUACAAACAUAAUAGUCCUUAAUGCUUAAUAUUUUUCCCACUUCACACUAAAGCGCGACUACGGAUACUUUAAGAAUAAUGCCCUUAGUUAAUGUGUUCUCAUGAUUAAGUCACACUAAUACAUUAAAGGAAUAGACUAUUCUAGCGACUUUCUUAAAUCAACCAUAAUAAGAAAAUACAUUUUACUAUUCGUCACAAUACCAAAAAGUAUGCCCUCUACGCUCUACACAACAUCGUAAGGUACGGUGUACUUGAGUAGAAUACGAAAUAUGGUAAGGUACCAUGGGCUUAAGUGAUUUUGGGCAUAUUAUAAGAUAUGGGCCAAAAUACACUUAAGUGGGUCUUUUAGCUUGAAGCUCAUACAAGUGGUUCUAUAAAUAGAACCCUUGUGCAGAAGCAUUAAUAGCGGUUGCAUUAUUUUCGUUUUUUCUCACUCUCUCUCUCACUCAAAGCCUUCAUUCGUACCAGCUAGCACUGAGAUUGAAGGAACUCGUUCGUGUGGACUGAGUAGAGACGUUGUCAUCGUUCAACGUUCGUGAUCGCUUCGUGGAUCUGCAUCAAAAGUUUUGAUCGUCACAAGAGAUCUGCACCAAAGGUUUCAAUCGUCGGAAGAGGUAAAUAUUCUAUCACUGAUCAUGACCAUUCGUAAGGAUCUCUAAAGGAGAAAAUUUUAAUUUCCGCUGCGUUUUGGACCGCAAUUCUCCUUCAGAAAUUUGCACCACAUAGGAAAGUAGGCAUAUUGGCCGAAAAGAAGAAGAAAUAAAAUGUUUGGCAUCAAGAUAAACAACUCUUUAUGCAAAUGUAGGCAUUGUUUAUUGGCCCAAAGGGUAAGUAUGGAAUCUUGAAGGAAUAUGGUAUUUGGUUCAGAGAAAGACAAUAUGUCACUGAGAUGGAUGGUUAUGAUUGAAAAUAGAUUAUGGAUCACGAAAGAUAUGAAUGGAUCCCUAAGGAAGAAGAUAGAAUAAUUAUGAUUGGCUCAUCAAGGGUUCUAAGUCUUGUGCCUACGUAUUCUCAUUGUGCAAUGAGAAAGUCAGAGUUUCGUAGUUCAUGGAAUUAAUGCGGAACAAGGACAGAAAUAUUAAUUUGAUAAUAAGUGAUGAAAAGUAUAACUUGCACCAAAAUACAAUGGUAGCAUUGGAACCCAUAAAGGUAAAUGAACUUUGAACCAAAGAGUAAACAUGCAUAUUGGCCAAAAAAGAAAGGAAUGAAGUGUUUGGCAUCAAGACAAACAUAUUUUGGUUCAUAAUAUGGGCACUGGUUAUUUGCCCAAAAAGGAUAUGUAUAUGACCCAAAGGAAUAUGGUGUUUGGUCCAAGGAAAUAUUAUAUCACUGUGGGGGAGCAGACUAUCUGAAACCAAAAUAAAAUGGUAUGUUGAAUCCAUGAAGGAAUAAAUUCUAAAUAGAAGAGUAAAUAGGCAUAUUGGCCAAAAAAGAAAGGAAUGAAAUGUUUGUUGACAAUACAAAAAACUCUUGAUUUAAAGGUGGGCAUUAGUUAUUGGCCCACAAAAGGAUAUGUAUAGAAUCCAAAUGGAUAAGGUAUUUUAUUCCAAGAAAGAUAAUUCAACAUUGUUGAGAAAUGAGAAGUGAUAUUCCAGGAUAUUGGACAAAGGGGCAAGGGAGACAAUAAGAGUACCCUAAGGUAGAAGAAUAUCUUGGAGUUGAUUGUAAUUAUGAAAUUUAUUUUACGAGUUUAACCAUUAGUACUUAGAGGAAGUCGGGUGUCGAACCAUCGGCUAAGUACGACCGACAAUCAGAGUAUUUGUGAGUUGAGAGGACAACUUCAUCCUAACCACUCUUUAACUCUUAGAGUAACGAUUUGGACUCAUGUUUAUAGAUUAAGUGUUUUAAACAGAAGUCAAGCAUCGAGGCCCCAAGCUAUGUACGACCAACAACCCAAGUACUUGAAUGUUGUGCACAAGUACGUACACCCCAUUUUUCAUCCAAGUUUUACUAUGAAAAUGAUUUGAUGAGUGGGAAUCGAUCAAGGAUAGAAUGAGAUAAGAAUAGAAUGAAUUGCAUGAGAAUCGGAUAAAGAUAGGAUAUGGAAUGGAGAAAGAGAUACUUGAAAUUGGAUCAAGCACUCGCGUUGCAUUUGAUUUGAUUUAAUUUGGAAAAUACUUGACAUUGGAUCAAGUGUGUUUUUUAUUCUUUUGAAAAAGAUUUAUUUAUCAUUUAAUUUUAUCUUUUUAAUUAGCAUGCAAUGAAAGCGAUAAAAGAAAGAUGAAUUUAGACUAUUACACUUUCAUGGGAGAGGGGGACAUAUAACCCACCAUGAGGGGAUGAUAUACCAUACAAUACAAAGAUAGAAAUGGGAUCAUACAAGUUACAAACCAAGUACCAUGCAUAAAACAAUCAACUGGCAUGGUACCCCUAAGUAUUAACAAACAAUACAAAUGUAAAUGGAAGGUAAAAUACAAUGGUGAUGAUAAAGGACAUAGAGAUCAAACUUAAAGUCAAAUUAUCUAAACAAUCACACAAGGUAAUGAAGUUAGAAUGAGAUCAAACAAGGUUAAACAAGUAAUCCAAGUUCAACCCAUAGACUCUUCAUAGAAAAUCAAUAAGGAAUGGACAUUAAUCACACGUGUAUGAUAAGAAAAGGUACCUAAACAAGUCAACCACGAUAAAUUGAAAUGGCAUUUUCAAUUUCCACAAGAUAACCCUAACCCAAAUGAAAAAAUUAAAUGGAUAUUAAAGUGAGUACUGAAUUCAAUGAUCAAAAUUACCUAAACAUGAAUUAGGAAUCAAAUGGACCAUUAAAUUAAAUGUACUCAACACGGACAAUCAUGCCAAUAGUAAAAACUCUCAAUUAAAAUAUGAGUAAAAAAUUAACAAAAAUUCUAGAGAAGAUUAAUCAGAAAAAUGACCAAAUUAAAUCCUAUUUUUCAUGAUAAAAACAUUCUAAUUAUAAUAGCAUUCAUGGCAAAAAUAAUAGCACAAAAAAUAUUAUAAAAAAUGUGUAAAAAGAUCAAGAAAAGCACAAGAAAUAAAGGGGUUCAGAAACUGAAACAAGGUUGUAAUGCAAUUUGGGCGCAUGGGUCUUGUAAGCCAAAGCCCAAUUAAAAUGUAAUGCAGCUUGGGGGGUGCACUGGCCAAAAACAAAGUGUAUAGCAGUAAUUUUGGUCCAAAGCCCAUUACAAGGCCUAAAACAGAACUAACAAUCAAAGGCCAAAAACGAAAUGGAUAAGGAUAUUAAUGAGGUGAAGUGUGAGUCAAUAGAGUUUGCAUGGUCAGUUAAACGGGUAUGAUUAAAUUGCCAUGAAUGCACGCGUGAGCACAUGAAUUGACGGUCAGAUGAAUAAUGCACAUGGGAAAAAAUAAUCAAAAGGGCAAACAGAACACAACGAGUAACCAACACAUUCUCGCUCCUUCUCACUCAGUCAUUAUCUUUGUCGUGCCGGAGGCUCCCUCAGUGGCAGAGAUUCCCCAUAAAUCCCAAUUUUCAAUGCCAAUCUCUCUCUCUCAACCUCUACUUACCGAAGCCAAAAAUUGUUUCCUCCAAUUUCUACACACUCAACCAAAUCGAGCAAUUUUGGCCAAGAACACUAAAUCCUAUAACUUAAAUUAAAUCACAACCAAGCCUCAAAUUGUUCCAAAACCAAAGGGUACCACUCUCCUACCUCUAAACAAUCACUUGGUAACGAAAAUUGGAAAGAAAAAGAUGAAAUUUAGAAGACCUUAUCGGAGCAGAUCGGAGAUGAAGACGAAAACGGAAACUGGGUGUGCUGUAAUCCUUUUCUAUUCUGCUUCUUCUCUCUUCUUUGGUCUUCUUCUUAUCUCUUCUUCAUAUGUUAUUGCUAUUCUUCUAGUGAGGAUGAUUGAGAGUGAAUAGUAGUGAUUGUUGAAAAAUUUAUGAUUGCUCUGAUUGCGUCAAUUUUUGUGACUGGAAUGAAUAGGUGAUGAUUGUUCUGUGUGAUUCUGUGUGUGAUUGAUUGUGUGAGUGAUUAAUCUUAUGAUUGUGUGAUUCUAUGAUUGAGAGAGUAUAAAGAGGGAUUCAAUGAUAAAAUGAUUGGUUAAGUGAUUGAGUGUGUGAUUGUGUGAACUUUUCCACCUCCUUAAUAAUGAAUGAUGAAGAUCAUUUAUAGGGAAAAUGAGUCUUAAUAGAGUUUCUUUAAUUAUGUUCAGUUCUGAAUGUGCACGUUAGUUGAGUCAACUAACUCUGUUAGGCUUCAGAAUUUGUACCCAAAUUUAGUUUGCUAUAACAGUUUGUUAGGGUAUUUUGUUUGUUGUUAUUAUUUAUUUUAUUAUGAUAGUUGUUGAAUGAUUAGUUAGUUACAAUUUUGUUAGAUUUUAGUUAGUUAGUUGUUGUUAUGGCAUGAUUUCUGUUAGGUUAUGAUUCAGUUAGUUGGUGGGAUUAAUGAGUGAAUAUAUUAGUAACUGUUAUAAGAAUACUGUUAUGUUAUAUGUUGAGUUGUUACGACUGAACUCUAUUAAGUAUUUUUCACCCUUGAAUUUCCCUGCUGCUGUUAUACCCUAUUAUUGUUAUGCUUGAUUAUGAAUUUUCGUGCCAUUUUCGUGGACAUAUCUGCUAUGGGCCUUCUCAUUGUUGGGUUGCAACUUGUUGUGAAUUCAUGGUUGUUUAUGUUGAGUUAUGUGUUGGAUAUGAAUGGCUUGCAUUCCCUGAUGUUUAACAUGUUAUGUUGCUGCUAAAGGUGAAAUGUUAUGAUGUUUUGUUGUUUGAAAUGUGUGGAAAUAUGAAUGCAUAGCCUGAUGUUAUAUGAUAUAUGAAUGUUUGUUAUUUCUAAUGUGAUGAAUUUUUUAUGUAUGGACUGUUGUAUGAGCUGCUAUGAGGCUAUGAAUUUGUUGUCAUGGAUGUACAUGAAGAAUGGUUGUUAAUGUGAAUCAAAUAAUGCCAUGCUUGUUUGGUAAUGAUGCUAUGAAUUUUGGGUCAUGUGUGGUAUGUUUUAAUGGUGUUAAUGAUUCAUCAUUGCUUAGAAUAUUUUGCAGGGCUGAAACAUGUGUGCUUGCAUUGCAUUGACCAUGAUUGAAGCUUGGCAUGGAGGUUCAUGAUGGGAACUUAAAGAAAUCCAAAGGUUACCUGUUCAUGAAGAAAUGUGCUUGGUUAUGGAAUCAAAUGGAAAGAAAUAAAGAGAAUGAAGAAUCAAGGGUCAUUAGGGUUAGGGAUGUGGAAAUUAGGUUAGUUGACUCUUUAGUCAACUGGUUAACCAAAAAAUCAACAAUUGACCAAAAGUCAAUUGUAGGUCAAACUUUGAUUUUUUUUUGUAAUUUUUAUAUGGAACUUUGUAAAUAGUGAUUAUAUUAUAAAAUAGACAAUAUUUUGAAUGAGAUGGUCUUUUAUGAUUCAAAGAAACAAAGCCUUAUUUUCAAAUUAUCGUUUUUCCUCCC
rnacentral:lncRNA from 1 species